rnacentral:lncRNA from 1 species
UUUUUUUUUUUUUUUUUGUAAAGUUUUCCAUGUAUUUGGAGAGUUUGAGUUACGUGUCGGAUAUGAGUGUCCAGCAUGGAUAUUUCAAGCAAAACGAAGAGUCAAAGCAACAUAGUCAAGCCAUAUCCGACUCUAUCCCCGAAUCUGAGUAGCAUCAGCACAGAUAAGUGAAUAAAGACCUCGCAAGCACUAGUACUUCAGCUUUAACAGCAUGGAGACGUGAAUUAGUAUAAGCAGAAGCUGAUUUAAUCAACUUCAACUUCCAAAUGAGAGUCUCCGUUGGUAAAAUAUCAGCCAAACCCUGAAAAUAAAGCAAGGAAAAGUAGCAUUACAUGCAAUGCAACAAAUGUCAGGAAAAAUAAAUGAUAAAUCCAAUAAUUCUUACAGAAUAAAACGGAAGCAAAGCAGUGAGGUUGCUAGAAAUUCGCUCAAUUUUCUGUGUGGGAAGAAGCCUACCUUCAACACCUACUUCUGCCAUUUUCAAUGGUUCCCCUGAUCUCAUUAAAACAAAAGCUGUAAUCUGAAUCAAGUGAUUUCAAACUAGCUAAAAUUGCCAAUGUUGGUGAUACAUUCAGACUUUGUGUAACAGUCGAACCUGAAUGGAACAAAACUGAGCUUUUUGUAAUAGGACAGUGGUUAUAUAUGAUGUCAGUAGGGAGUCAUGGUCUUAGGGCCAUGGAUUUCCUAUUGCCUAUGUAUUAGUGUUCUACUCGAUAUAAGUAUCCACUCCAUUUAUAAAGCUUUUGUAGAACACUGGAACCUAAAUUGAACAAAUCUAAGCGUGCUGUAACUGACCAAUGGUUAUCUUACAUAUGAUGCGUGCAGGGAGCCGUGGUCUUGGAGCCAUGAAUUUCACAUCUGCUAUGUAUUAGAGUUCGACUCGAUAUAUAAGUAUCCAUUCUAUUUUUAAUAUGUGAGACAUCUUUUCUAUACAAAAUCAUGAGGUCUAAUGGGUCCAAAUGGAACCUUACAGGUUGUUAUAGAUGGUGAUUUAAUAUAGCAUGCCACUGCAAGCACUUACCAAUCACAAGGCUCAAAAGAAAGGGGAUAGUUCUAACGUGUAGUCCAUCAGGGAAAGCUUCCAGUAUAGGGAGAAAUGGUUGCAGCCGAGACCUGCCUAGUGAUGUAGCUAAAAUGAAAUGAAAAACAAAAGAAUCCAUCAGGUUCACCUCGGCAUUUCAGCAACAGAGUUCAGUUCACAACGAUUUUAAGAAUACUUGAUGAAAAAAGAGCAGAAAAAAGGACACUUCUGUAUGAAAACUGACCUGGAUUUACUAAUAUUAUCACAAAGUCAAUACUGGGAUUACGAGCAGCAACAGCAAGGGCUAAGCAUCCUCCAAUGGAAUCUCCCACUAAAUAGAUUGGACAAUUCAGACGUGAAGCAUGCUCAAGUCUAACGGUUUCUUCAACUAGUUUCACCAGUCCUUCAUAUUCAAAAGAAUAAUGUUGAUUUUUUGUUUACAAAAGAUGCAUAGCGAUUAAAAAUAAUGCACUAAAUAUGGGGAUUUGCCAACACGGGUAUAUUUAAAUUUUUUAAGAAAAAUGAACCGGACCAACAUAGUUAUAAACAAAGUGAAUAAGCACUCAUGCAACUCAAAAAAACCUUCAAGCUUAGGGCAUCAUUCAAAUGCACCUUCAACUUGGAUAAAACUUAUAAAUAAGUCAAGAAAGAUCUUGAAAGACAAAAACCUUCAAAUGGUGUUCGAUCAUGGACUGGAAUAUGAAGGCAUUGAACUUCAAAAACCCUGCAGUACUCAACCAAAAUCUUCAGUAGAAAUUGUUACAUUUCCAAUAGAACAACUAUUAACAUAAUGCCAGAGGUGAAUAUGAGUCAGUAUAAUGUGACAGGAAAGAACUGAAAACAAUGAAAACAAUUUCAAGACAGUAUUUUUUCAGGAAAAUGAGUAAGUUAACCCCAUUUAAAUUAAAUUUUCAGCAAGGAAGCUAUGAACUGAUUUGCCUCUGCUGUAAUUCCUGAAAAAUUAGUUUGAACUAACCUUGAUUGCUACCAUUGGAAGGAAAUAUAUAGAAUUUGUCAGCCAAAAAAAUUAAGGGAAAAUUGGUCAUAAGUAUUUAAGGGAGAUAAAACAACUUACUUUCCAAGAGGUUUAUGGUGCAAAAUGAGGCCCAUCCCAACACCAUCAAGCCCUACAUGCAUCAGAAUUCAGAAACAAAAGAAGGAAAAAUACUAGUUUAAAUCAGUAAACUUAAAGUAUUCAUGGAUCUUGGUAUAAAAUUUUGAAGGGCCAAUUAUAAGUCGUAAAUCUAUAUAUUUUAAUUAAAAUAUUUUAUUAUGUUUUUAUCAAUGUGAAAACAUAUAUGUUAGUACUAUACUAAGAAAUCAUAAAACUUUAGGAAUCUAACUUGUGAUUUUGAAAACCAAAUUAUCCAAAAAAAAAAAUUCAUAUUUAAAAUUUGUUGCACAUUUUUUAACAAUAAUUUAAUAAAUAUCAAUUUCAUAAUAGUAGCAAAAGCAUCUUAACUUGCAGAAGCAUAAACUAUAAAAAGCAUACAGGGACAUCAAAGGUAUUAAAAUUCAUUUAUGACAAACCAAACCAAGUAAUUUGAAGAGUUUAUAAAUAAUGAUUGGUGAUAAAAUGAAAAGGUAAAUAAUUAAUCUUUUCUAAUUAGUCAACUCCAUUCACCCAUCAACCGGGAAAUAUUAAAUUUUUGAAAAACUAAGAAAAAGUAAUAAACACUGAACUUACCAGGUAAAAACAGAAGAAGAGGAGAAUCUUUAAUAGGACGGCCACAUUCAACAGGGCAAAACCACCUUGGUGGUCCACCAUCAGGCUUGAUCAUGUCCUUUGCAGCAUCCACAUAAUCUUUCACAGUAUUAGUUCCAUAACCAUCAUCCCACAAUAGUUCCAACUCUUCACAACCCAUUCUUUUCUCAGUUCUAGACUUUAAACUCCCAUUCCCACCAUCAACCAAAUACCCUUUUCCAACUACUACAGGAACUGUUGUUUCCUUGACGGAGACCCCAUCAGUUGACACUACUGACAACUCGUUACCAUCUAAUCUCUCAGCUCUCACUCUAAAACGAGGCUUCUUAUUUAUCCCAAAACGGUGCCAUACCGGGCAAGUAACAGCACCAGCCAUCACUCUCCUACUAAAACUGCAAUAUACUUUAUAACCUUUAAACACAAAUAUCUACAGUUCUACACUUGAUAAACUUAUUGCAGCCUUUCUUCAAACACCAAAAAUGCCAGGUUGUCCAUAAAAUCGAGCAACUUCAAACUCAAUGGGAACAACUUGCCAAAAGAACUUGUUGGAACCCUUUUUCAAGCAGAAGAAACAACAAGUAUAAUGUUGCCUAAAACCCUCUAACUGAAACAUGUCACACUUUUUAUACCAAAUAUGUAUUUUAAUAUAAAUAUAAGAAGAAAGUAGAGUACAAGAAUGAAAUUUGGUGCAAACACCCAUAUAACAAAACAUGGUUAAUUUUACACUUUACUGUUUCAUAUAUUUCUAUAGUUUAUUGUCAAAAAAUCAUGGAAUGACAGCAAAAAUGUUUUAAGUUCAUAGAAUUUUUAUCUUCUUUUUACAGGAUGUAAAGAUAUUGUUCUUUUUUUAAUAAAAAAAUCCCCCAAAUUUCCAUUAACUUCCACUGGUUUAGCCAUGAAUAAUUACUGUAUCAAUACACUCAUUUGGAUGGUGUGUUUAACAGUUAUAUUUUCAUAAAGAUGUACAAAAGAAAAAGGGAAGAAAUGGCGGGUUUUGGUAGUUGUUGGUAACGGUAAAUUAAGAUGGGAGUUUCUAGACAAAAUCUAUAGGAAUCAAAUCUUUAAAUUUGUAUAUUGAUAAUCAACAUGAUUUACAUUAUUACUGCUCAAGAAAUUAAUUCCGAAACAUAUUAUGUGAAUUAUCAGUAUCUAUUAAAAUAUUAAUAAUAAAAAUUAUACUUUUUAUGAAUAACAAGAAAUUUUUCUAAUAUUUUUAUUCCUAACAAAUAUUACUCAUUCGAUUUGUUUUUUGGUAAAUUCCAAGAAGAAGGAAAAAUCAUAACAGUAAUGCCUUUAACAAAUUAUAUAUGAACUCUAACAAAUUUUUUAAUUCUUAGAUUCGAGUUCUCCAUUUACUUGUGCCUAAAUUAGCGUGAUAUAUUUGAUUGCUAACAGUUUUUCUUAAAAUUAUUUUACAAAUAUUUCUUAAUUAUUAAUGCUAAAUUUUAAGCACAUAUUUUUUAAUUUAUAUUUAAUUUAAUUAUUCUCAUAACAUAAUUAUAAAUUAAUAAUCAAUGUUAACUUGGUUACAUAGAUAUAAUAUUUUUUUUUGAUAGAAGAUAUAAUAAACUUAAAUAUCUUUAAUAUAUACAAUUAUUAUCAUUAUUUUAUAAAUAAUACAACUAAAAUAAAAAAUUAAUCGUAUCGUAUGGCUUUCUAUAUUUAUUAAAUAUUUUCAAUUAAAAGAUGAAAAUGAUUAUAAUAUUUUCUUUUAAAUAUUCUUGUGCUUAAUGAAUGAAUAGUUUAUACUAUAAAUGCUUCUACAAAUAAUCCUUCACCAAAUAUGCACAAUAAUUAAAAAAAUUAAUAUAAGUAAGAAAUAUACACAUUCCCACAUGUUUUUAAAUCUCAUAAUAAUGAGAAAACAAAAAAAAAAAAAAUUCUUCUCUCACACUAUUAAAUUUUUUUUCCAUCUUUAUAUACAUUUAUAGAAACAACACCAUGAAUUUCAUUUUUUUCUCCGGCUUGCAUACAUUUGAAAAUUUAAUUUUUUUUAUAAAUAGAUUAUUUUAGUUUAUUAAACUUUCAAAGCACAAAUAUAAAUUGAUAAAAAAUUGUAGUCCAUAAUCUAAGCGCUUCAAAAUAUCUUAAUUCUCUCACGCUAGAAAAGACCAUUACUUUCUCACUAAUGAAAAUUAAAGGAUAACAUGGUAAUAAACAUUUUGUAGAUUUUUUGCUACCAAUAAAUUUUUUUAUAAGUUUUAGGUAUUUAAAAAGAUUUUAUUUUAAAAAAUUAUGAUUUUUAGCAACUUAAAAGUGGAGGUUUAAGCUUAAUAAUAAUAAGUGUUAUGUAAUAACUGAUUUAAAAAAAAUGUUUUAUGGUUAAAAAUUAGUUUUCACAUGAAUCUUAAUAUAUUUUAUUUACACAAAUUAUAUUGAAUUUUUAAUAUAAAAUAUUACAUGUACACAAUCAACCUAUGCAUCGCAUGAAAAUACAAAUUAAUUAAUAUUUUGUUAAUUAUUUUUAAACAUCAAUCUUAAUUUUUCAUUUAAUCAAUUUAUAUAAUAACUUUUUAAAUAAGAUAUUUAAUCGUCUUAAAUCCUCGAAACUUAUUCCAUUGUUCCAUGCUCAGACUUUGAUCAAUAUGACUUUUUUCAACUCAUAGAUAAAGUACGUGGACAUGCAUACACGGAUAUAUUAUACAUGAAUAUUUAUACUAGAUAUAAACUUGCAAACUUGAUCCCAUAUUCAAAAUGCUUUGCGCUGCUUCACUCGUGAACCAUCAGAGAGAGUGGUGUUGCACACCAAACACCAGUUUCCAGCUACACUAACACUUCGUUAAAUGGGAAGAAUUUUCUUUUGUGAUUCAAGCCGGUAAAAGUAUUAUAGAAGUCCAGAUUGCAUUUUGAAUCUACUCAAAAUAUAGGUAAAUUAAUUCAUUUGCAUUAAAUCAAAAAGUAAAUUGAUGAAACAUUCCCACAGUUAAAAACUGAUCUUUGUAUGCCGGUAUGAGAUACCCGUACUAUACCACACGUCACUGUCUGAUUAUUCUGUCAACCACUUCAUUUUUUAACAAUAAAAAAUGAUGUAUUUUUUUUUAUAGAAAUUACCAAUUUACUUUUAUUUAUUUAUUUAACAUAUAAGGACUAAUUUGACGAAUUUUUUAGUGAAAGAGACAAAAUACAAUCUUACUUUUAAUACAGAGACCUCCAUGAUAUUUUUGCCCAUUCAAACUCAAACUCCCAAGUGAAUAUUAGAUAUGGGUAUAUGUAAGCAAAGAGUAUAAUAUUUCUUUUUCAAGUCGUUUCUUGUAUUUGAAUAUACAAAAGUGAAGUGCUGGAAAUGAAUACUUCCGCCUUGGUCCAUAAGAAAAACAUCAGCUCCAAAACUUCAUCUAAAUUUCACAAUUAAACACAAGGACCCAGAAUUUAUAAACAAUGCAAAAACCAGAAAGUACAGACCAAAUCAUAGAUGGCACCUCCUAAAGGCAACAUAAUGAACAAACUAAACUAAGAUGUGAGUUCAGAAUACUCUUAAAAUCACUUAAAAGCAGCAAACAACUCCUUAAAUAAACAUAGUAUCAAUUUCCCAAAGUAUCAACUCGUAGAUAAGCAUGAAAUACGACUCAAAAAUCUAACCGGCUACUGUAACUAACCCGGUGCAGCAAUUAUGAUUUCGUUUCUUGCCUCCGGAAACUACUGAAAGAUUGACAAGGUGUUAAAGCGAUAUUUUCCAGAAACAAGACUGAUUAUGCAAUUUGUCUUAUUUCUGGGAAUUAAAAAGUAAAAGAUAAAAAACUUCAAAAUAGUUUCUAUGGAUAAAAAACUUCAUAAUAGGUGCCUGAUCUUUUGUCCUAGAAAGCACCUUUUUUUUGGCUAAUUGUCCCCGGAGUUAUGAACACUUCUGCCGCUUGCAUUUCAAUCCUAGAGCUUCUUUCUCUCUUUCACCUGAUGAAUGGCAAGAACAUCUUGACUAGACAAAGACGAAAGGUUUAUGUACCUCGAUCCACUUGACUAUGUAUGGAGAAAUGCUCCAAUAUAAGAAAAAAAAUCAUCUUUCGAUAUAUACAUGUGUAUAAAUAAGGAUCCCAUACACUUCUGGCCAUGAUAGGCAACCUCAGAUGAAUAAUAUGAUUCUCAACACUUUACAAAAGGCAUGAGCUUUCCACUUGAAAUACUGAGACCAACCUGCAGCCUGAUAGAUAUACGAUAGAAUACAGUUCAAACACUAGUUAAACAGAGAGCCUGCCAUGGAUAAUGGGCAAAUAUUCUCAAAGAGAAACUAUAUGAUGUUAAUCCACGGAUCAAAAUGAAGAUACAAUGAUUCCAUUUUAAAUUGACAGAAUUAACAGGGAAGAAUUGAAUUAUCAGCAGGCUUCCUCUCAAAAAAUCGAAUUACCCUCCCCCUUUUUCUUUCCAAAACCAAAAUGAAAUAAAACAUAAAACAAAGUGAUACAAGUUUCCCGCUUUUAUCAUAUGACAAAUAGUGUUCCCUGAAGAAUAUACAUCAAUGUGUGUUAUUCUGUAAAGAGUAAUAUAGGUCACUUAACUAACAUGUAUAAGUCGCAGCUGACUCUCAGAAUCAACAAAUCACCUGCCUUGAAUAACUCUAUAAUUAAGUACCAAAUCCUCGGGUUUCUUCCAUAUAUAAGCCCGUACAGUAGGUAAGCUCAUAUCAGGAGAUAAUACCUGGAACAGAUAGUAAACAGAUAAAAAAAAGGGGCCAGCAUACUGUGAUUGAACUUGAACUAACAAGUUGGUCUAAAAUUAUUUUUCUAUGUUUAUUUCAAAUUCCACAGAUUGAAAUAUUGGUAAGAGAAAAUGAGGAAAAAGUCACACAACUUUGACAGAUAUGCUCUUAGCCAAUGGCAUUUUAGCAUUCAACAAGCAAUUGACUUGCCUGAUUAUUGCAUAAAAUCUCAACAGAAGGCCGAAGCUUUUGCCGUGGCUUCAAUCCAGACCGAAAAGAUCCAUCUCCAACUGCCGAAUGCUGCAAUUGUCCUCCAAUUCCAGGAGCAAAUGUUCCGACGGUAUUUAAAUUAUCAAUUGGUUUGUCAAGCACCAUCUUUUCUUUGACAUAAUUAAUAACCUACAAAACCACAACAGAGUGAAUGUAGUCUCAUCAAUAUACUGUAUAUGCGCCCUAAAAUAACAUUUUUAAUAACCUAACAGUGUUCGGACCCUUAUUCCUUCUGUGCUCCGAAAUAUGAAUUUAUUCUAGAGUAUUUACCCGAGUGAUCUAAAUCAGUAUAAUAACGGCAUUUGCUACCUUGCACAAUCAAUUUCCAUGCAAAAGAAAUUGUCUUUUGCAAGUACUACAGAAAACCAAAUAGACCUACCUUUUGUGUUCUCAAUAUACGCGGUGCACUCAACUUCCCCUGUGUGAGGAUCUGAACAGCUGAACCUUCACAUGGAUGAAGGUAGAAGCUGCACCUGAAAAAAUGAAAAGGGAAUUCAUCAAGAGAGAGAAAGGACUGAAAGACACCCUAGUGAACACCGGAAAAAUAAAAUAUGGGGAAACGAAGGGAUAUUGACUUGUAUUUAGUAAAAAUACUAUCAAUAAUGCUCAUUAUUAGGGUCUGAUAUCAUGCUUUGUGAUAGUUUCUUGUUUUUACGAUUUUAGCAAGAUUAAAUAGAGGCUAUUAUAACUAAUAAAAAGUAUGGAAAAGAAUAAAGUUUUUUUCUCAAAAAUUCUCUCCCUUCCUUGGCAAAUUCUUUUUCUGCCAAAAUUUCUCUUUCUCUGCAAAGCAUAAGAUCUUAUUCUAAACCAUUCCUAAAAAAGGGGGGGGGGAUGAAGCCUCUCAAAUCAGCCAUGGCAAGAAGAAGAGGUACCAUCCUACUUGAGAACCUCCACAACAUAAAAAUAUACUUAUAUGAGUGCUCCCAAUGCUUGACACGAGAAAACCAGUGUGUGGAUUCUGGAUUCAGGGGCAUCAGAUCAUGUGAGAUGUGACAGUGUUUCAUAAAUAUAAUCCAUGUCGUGAUAAUGGUGGAAAGUGCUGAUGGGUCUCUUUAAGGUGGCUGGUACAAGUUCAGUUAUUAACUCAAGGAUAUAACCCUUGAUUCAAUAGCAUUUGGGCCAAAUUUUGAUUGCAUUAUGCUAGCCAUACAUAAGAUUACAAGAGACCCUAAUUGUGUUGCUAAAUUACUCCCAAAAUGUGUGAAUUUCGAGUCUUGGACUCGAGGAAGACAAUAGGCUAUGCUAGGAUGUGGAUGGGCCUCUACCUUCUCAAAGUUGAUGUGCCAAAAAGGCAAUCUCAAAAACCAACUUGUGCGGCUUCAUCAGCUUAUAUCAACAAGGGAUGGAGCAAUAAUUUUGUGGCAUUACCGAUUAGGUUAUUUGAAUUUCAAGUAUCUAGAAAAAAGGUAUCUCAAUCACUCAACAAAAAUAUGCUCCAGAUCUAUUGAAAGAAACAUGGAGGCUUAGGUGCAAACCAACAGACACCUUCAUGGAUCUUGCUAACAAGAUGGAAAUAGAGUAUGGAUCAUAUUUGAUCCAAUUGAGAAGCUUCUAGAACCUAUGGAUCAUAUCCUUAAAUAUCUAAAUGGAAGUCCUAGCAAAAGAACAUACUCAAGAAAAUAUCAAACAGAGAUGUCAAACAUACACAGAUGCUGAUUGGGCUAGUUCCAUGAUAGACUGAAGAUCAACCACCUAUUGUGACACUUUUUCUAUAGGGAGCCUGACUACAUAAAAAAACCAAGAAGUAAUCUGUCACAGCCACAAACAAUAGAAAAGCUGAAUUUAAAACAUUGUCACAUGGCAUUUGUGAGUGAAUGUGGUUAGAACAAAUGUUGAAUGUAUUAAAUAUAUCUACAGGAAAUUCCAUGAAACUUUAAAAUGAUAAUAAGCCAAUAAUAAGCAUUGCCAAAAACCCCAUUCACCAUGAUCGAACUGAACACGUGAAGAUCGAACGCCACUUCAUCAAAGAGAAGAUUAAAAAAAAAAAGAAGAAUUCUUAGACUAGUUGAUAUUGAACCUUUUGAGAAUCACACCCCAAAAGCUAGCUAUUAAGGUUGGAGAGCCUACAUACAUAUAAACCCCAUAAGGAAUUCUCAUACAUCCCUAUGUGGGAUCCAAAUUCAAACCUUACAAUUCCGUACAUAUCAAUCCACCAAGCUCCGCAAUUCCAAUCCCUACAUGGAUUAGCUUUGUGCUAGCUUAUUCUAGCCUCAGGCCUACACUACACUACCAAUGUCACCAUCUAUCACAUUAUUGCAAUUAAAAGGCGUGAGGACUAGCUAAGUCUCAUACCAAUUAGUAUGAGCCUUUGGAGAACCACACCCAAAAGCUAGUGAUUGAAAUUAGAGAGCCUAUGUCCAUUUAAACCCUACUAGAAAAUCCCACACUUUGCCCCACAGCUUGCAGUUGAGUACAUAUCACUAGUCUAUAUAUUUCCGUGCCACCAAACUGGAAAUGGCAUUAUGUUGAAAUAUUUUUGAGAACUUUAAGUCCAAGCUGGACGUGAUAAAUAUUUUUGAGAACAGGCUUUUUCUAUUCCGUCUUAUUCAUAAGAAAUUACAUAAAUAUUUAUACACAUAGUAAGCCUAACUUAGGAAACUCUAUACUAGGAAAUAGACUAACUCUAGGGAUGCUGUCUAAAAAAAACAGCCUUAAAGUUAGGGAUAGUAAUCAGUAAAAUAUUUACAGAAUCCUAUCUGAUAUACUUAAAUAUUCCUUAAUUAGUAAACUGUAAUCUGACACUCCCCCUCAAGCUGGGAAGUGGAUAUCAUCCAUUCUCAGCUUGCUUACUAGUUUUUGAAACAACUUUCCAGACAACCCUUUGGUAAGUAUGUCUGCUAGUUGACCAUCAGUGGACACAAAUGGAGUGCAAAUUAAGCCACUGUCCAGUUUUUCCUUUAUAAAAUGUCUGUCAACCUCAACGUGCUUCGUACGAUCAUGUUGAACUGGAUUAUGUGCAAUAUUGAUAGCAGACUUAUUAUCACAAUACAACUUCAUUGGACCUUCCCACUUGAACUUCAAAUCUUCCAAAAUAAUUUUUAGCCAUAAUAGCUCACAAAUUCCAAGAGCCAUCGCCCUAAAUUCAGCUUCUGCACUAGAUCUAGCCACAACAUUCUGUUUUUUACUCCUCCAAGUCACAAGAUUGCCUCCUAGGAAAGUGCAAUAGCCCGAGGUUGAUCUUCUAUCAACCAUAGACCUUGCAUAAUCUGUAUCAGUAUAAGCUUCAAGGGUUAAAUUCUCCCCCUUUUUAAAUAGGAUUCCUUUACCUGGCGUGCCCUUUAAGUACUGUAGAAUUUGAUACACAGCUCUAAGAUGUGAUUCUUUGGGGUUGUGCAUAAACUGACUUACAACACCGACUGCAUAGGCAAUAUCCGGUCUGGUAUGAGACAAGUAAAUGAGCUUCCCCACAAGUCUUUGAUAUGAACUUUUAUCAACUGCUGCAUCUUCUAGUGCAUCUCCAAGUCUGUGAUUCACCUUUAUGGGUGUGUCUGCUGGUUUACAUCCCAACUUGUCUGUCUUUGUCAACAAAUCAACUAUGUAUUUUUGCUGAGAUAUGAAGAUUCCUUCCAGAGAGUGUGCCACUUCAAUACCAAGGAAAUAUUUUAACUUUCCGAGUUCUUUGACUUCAAAUUCUUUUACUAGGCAUUUCUUUAAAUUCUCCAUUCCUUCCAGGUCAUCACCAGUCACUAUAAUGUCAUCUACAUAGACUAAUAAAGCAGUCACUCCCCCUGAAGAUGAGUGUUUUACAAACAGAGUGUGAUCUCCUUAACUCUGUUUAUACCCCAACUUGAGCAUUACUGAUACGGGGUUGCGCGCGGACCAAGAUCGAGUUGCCAAGUCACGAGAAACUCCUACGAAAACCCUAAACAAUUAGAUCUAAAACGAAACAGAAAAUUAAAAUAUUAGAUUUUUGAAUUUUCAGAUCUGAAAUAAAAUCCCCAAAUCAGUAAAGAAUCAAAUUGAGAAUAGAAAUAAGUGUUAGGGUUCUUGAAACCAUCAAGGAGAUUGUGAUUCUGCCCAAUUGAACACCAAGAUAGUUUUCCCCAAAUUUCGACAAUCUAAUUUCACCAAAAAAGAGUAUGGAAAAACCCUAGAAAUUGGGGAUUUUUGGGCUGAUUCUUUAAGAUAGAAAAAGGCUGAAAACACAAUAAGAACAGAAAAUAGAUUAGAUAAUGAUUCAGCACAAGUAGAAAUAAAGAAAGAAUUGACAGUAAGAAAUUAAAAGAUAAGUCCUAAGAAGCCUUGAAAUCUCGAAAGGUCUCACAACUCCCUUCAAACGGCUCUAAUCUCCCCUCCAAAGAAUAUCAAUGGCAAGAAGAAGGUUGAAGAUGGCUCCCACAAUCACAAGAUUGUUAAAACAGCUUCUAAAGAAAACUCAAGAGAAAAAUCUUGGAGAAAACUCAAAAAAAUUCUACUCUCAACAAAUCUGAAAUUUUAAUAAUAAUGAUAAGUGUUUAACAAGGUGGACAGCCAUGCCUUUAAAUAGGCAUUAUAACUAGUCCUAAUCUAAUUAGAAAACUAAAAUAAAAAAAACUCCUAAUUAUUUUAAUAUGGAAAUUCGGUCAAAUGUUAUUUUAUCUAGGACUCUUGGACUGAAUAUUGACAUAAAAAUUUAAACUAAGUAAAUAAAUAAAUAAAUAAAUAAAAAUAAAACUUUACAACUUGGGCCACUUUGACAAUUUGGCCUGAUUUUCAACUAAGUAUGGAUGGAUUUCUUGAUUGGGCUUGGAAUCUUCUUAUUGGGCUCGCCUUCAAGAAUUUGGGCUUUUGUGACUCGUAUCAUUCCCCCUUCCUCAAAAAGAUUCGUCCUCGAAUCUGAAAAAUCAAAUGAACUCGACUUUCCUCUAUCGAACGGGACUAAUGGCAAUUGAGUCCACUGAGAAGAAUAGCCAUGAGAUAGUAAAUAGCAACGGAAACAAGCUUGUAGUCCAAUCAUAAGCAUAACAGAACACGUAUAACGCAUGUGAAUGGACAGAUUCAGAUUACCAUGCAAACAAUCUAAUUUACUCACCACUGCCUCGUCAAAUAUUUGAAACAAAGAUGGACAUGUUUUAAGGCAUUCAGUCGUCUCACAUUGUUCCCACAAACCAUGAAUAAAUUGCGAGUAAUAAAUCAAAUGGUAAACAUAAUCGUCACAAGUAGGUAUUUGAAAAGAUUCACAUGGUUCACAGAGUUGCAUAAUCAUACCAUGCAUUAAUCGACGGUCUAUAGAUUCACUCACACAUGCAUUAUCAAAAACAAGAAUCUUUUUAUCAACCAUCAAAACAGAUAGAUCAUCAAUAAAUAAAAUAGGACAGUCAAGCACGUUUCGAUCUAAGUGUUCAUCAACACGAUCUUUAUCAUUAUCCGAGGAGUACAAAAGUGUUUCAAAGGUGUCAAGCAUCUUACCUCGAUAAGCAGAAGAAUAAGGGUCGAUUUUACCUUUUUCAUUUAAAACAAACCUUCGCUCAUUGGGGGUAUAGUGUACUCGAAUCUUCGUUGUUGAGUUAACGUUUGUCAAAUGGAACUCAAACUUCAUGUACAACCACAUAAACUGUUUAAGGCACGAAUAUAAAUUGAAAACAAAUUUGGAAAAUUUCGUUACCUUAUUCUCCAAAACAGAUUUGGACAAAUUCAAGGAUUUUACAUAAGGUAAAUCAAGAGAAUAACAAAUCACGCUUCUUUUCGUAAUGACUUUAUCAACCACAAUCGAAGAGUAACAAUUAAUCAGAUCAAAAUGAGGAGAUCUUUUAAGAACUAAGUCACCAAAAGUUUUAUCAAUAAUUUUCAAAUCUGCACUGGACUCGGUUUCUAAAAUUUCCUUACCUCGCUUACCUUCGGGAUCAUGUAGUGUGAUUUCAUCUUUGCUUAAGUUGAUCGUAUGAAAGCGUCUUUCAUUUGAGAGGUAUUGAAGUUGAAAGUUAUCUUUCGAUCUUUCGGGAACCUGAAAAGUAGCAACACAAGAAAAAUUCAUAUCUUGGUUAGUGGAAACAUUCCUCACUACCCUUUCCACGUCUUUUUCUUUUGUUUCUUUUUCUAAUUCAUUUUCUCUUCUUUCUUCAAUUUCUUUUUCACUCUCAAUCUCUUUUUGCUCUUUUUCAUUCUCUUUUUCUUUUUUCUCACUUGUUUUAACAGAAUUUUUCAGUUUGAUUUGGUCCUCAUGGACUUGUUCCAGAGUGAGCGGCACUAAGGUGAGUUUCUUUCCUUGAUGCUUGAAAGAAUACCUAUUGGUACGACCAUCGUGAGUGACUUUUCGAUCCAGUUGCCACGGUUCUCCUAGCAACAAAUGGCAGGCUUGAAUAGGCAUUACGUCGCACACAACUUCGUCUUGAUACUUACCGAUAGAAAAGGCGAUGCGCACUUGUUGAGUGACCCUAAAUUGGCCUUCGUUGCUAAGCCCUUGUAGUUGAUAAGGUUGUGGAUGCUUGGUAGUGGUUAAGCAAAGCUUUUCCACCAUCGUCGUGCUGGCUAUGUUCGAGCAACUUUCACCAUCAAUAAUAACUCUACAAAGCUUACCUUGUACGUGGCAGCGAGUAUGAAAGAGAUGUUCUCGUUGCUGCUCGCUCUUUGGUUUUGCCAAAGAUGAUUCUCCAUGAUCAUGACAAUCAUCAUCCAUUCUAGGGACACGUUGAGGGUUGCACCUAUGGGGCUGGUUAUCCCUAUCUUCCUUAAUUGGAUCUCGAUAUUGAUGUUUUUGAUUCACUCGUACCUCAUUCAAAGUAGUAUUCAAUGCUUGAAGUGUAGCAUUUAUUUGUGUGAUUGCAGCAGUAUGUCUGUCUAACUGUUGUUGGACUUUCAUAAGUGCAUCAUUAUUAUCACCUUUAGACAUCUUCAAAACCUGUAAAAAAUAAACACUCAACACUCAAAAAUAAAAGUUAGCAAACCUCACCAUUAAUCACUCAAAAAGAAAAAUCAAAUUCUCAAUGAGGUCAAAUUCAAUCUUGUGAGUUCUUUAUCAGAGUUUAUAUCAACCAAUUAGAGAGUGUGAACCAAACUAUCAAAGAAUCCUAAUUUGCACUAGGAUGCCAAAAACUGACGAGACACCAAGUGAUUCGUGUUGCACCGAGGAAGGAUUGUGCACACGUUUAAAUCCUACUAACACAAGAAACAAGAAGGUGUUAGAUAUUUUAAAAGGAUAAUAAAAAGCAAACAAAUGAAAACCUACAGCUAAGAAUCAAUAAAAAUUGCUGAAAACAGAAAACCCGAAAAACUGUGGAGUAACUUGACAACUUCGUUCGAGGUGUUCCCGAUCUCAAAAAAUCACAAAAUUAAAUCUCGAAUGUCCUUAAAUAUUUAAUUUUUGAUCUGGAAAGUUUGGGCACCAAACUCAACCCGCUGAAUUUUUUUUAAAUUUUUAUUGGAUUUCGUCUUUUUUUCGAUUUUUUGACUUUUUUGACUGAUUUUUUUGCAGGAAUAAAUUUUUUAUAUUCAAUCACAGUGCCACAAAUAUGUAUGUAAAAUUUCAGAUCAAUUUGACAACGUUUACCCACUCAAAUAAAAUUUUUUUGAAAGAUUUUUCUGGGUAAAACUGCUGUUUUUGCUUUAAAAUAUUGAGAUCAGUUUAGAAAUCAACCAAGAACACCCAAAACGCCCAAAAUCUGAUACCAAAUGAUACGGGGUUGCGCACGGACCAAGAUCGAGUUGCCAAGUCACGGGAAACUCCUACGAAAACCCUAAACAAUUAGAUCUGAAACGAAACAGAAAAUUAAAAGAUUAGAUUUUUGAAUUUUCAGAUCUGAAAUAAAAUCCCCAAAUCAGUAAAGAAUCAAAUUGAGAAUAGAAAUAAGUGUUAGGGGUCUUGAAACCCUCAAGGAGAUUGUGAUUCUGCCCAAUUGAACACCAAGAUAGUUUUCCCCAAAUUUCGACAAUCUAAUUUCACCAAAAAAGAGUAUGGAAAAAUCCUAGAAAUUGAGGAUUUUUGGGCUGAUUCCUUAAGAUAGAAAAAGGCUGAAAACACAAUAAGAACAGAAAAUAGAUUAGAUAAUGAUUCAGCACAAGUAGAAAUAAAGAAAGAAUUGACAGUAAGAAAUUAAAAGAUAAGUCCUAAGAAGCCUUGAAAUCUCGAAAGGUCUCACAACUCCCUUCAAACGGCUCUAAUCUCCCCUCCAAAGAAUAUCAAUGGCAAGAAGAAGGUUGAAGAUGGCUCCCACAAUCACAAGAUUGUUAAAACAACUUCUAAAGAAAACUCAAGAGAAAAAUCUUGGAGAAAACUCAAAGAAAAUUCUGCUCUCAACAAAUCUGAAAUUUUAAUAAUAAUGAUAAGUGUUUAACAAGGUGGACAGCCAUGCCUUUAAAUAGGCAUUAUAACUAGUCCUAAUCUAAUUAGAAAACUAAAAUAAAAAAACUCCUAAUUAUUUUAAUAUGAAAAUUCGGUCAAAGGUCAUUUUAUCUGAAACUAUUGGACUGAAUAUUGACAUAAAAAUUUAAACUAACUAAAUAAAUAAAUAAAUAAAUAAAAAUAAAAAUAAAACUUUACAACUUGGGCCACUUUGACAAUUUGGCCUGAUUUUCAACUAAGUAUGGAUGGAUUUCUUGAUUGGGCUUGGAAUCUUCUUAUUGGGCCUCGCCUUCAAGAAUUUGGGCUUUUGUGACUCGUAUCAAUUACUUUGGUAAAUCUUCCAAACCAAGCCCUCGGGGACUGUUUUAGUCCGUACAAAGCCUUUUUUAGUCUGCAAACUACCUGUCCUGUAUUUGGACCGAAUCCUGGUGGAACAUCCAUAUAUACUUCCUCCUCAAGAUCACCAUGUAAAAAGGCGUUUAUGUCAAAUUGCUGUAAUUUCCAGCCUCGGUUGGCAGCUAGUGACAACAACACUCUCACAGUGUUCAUCCUCCUCGUAUUCUGUUCCUGAAAAAGACAUCGAUUGUGAUAGAAAACCACACUACAGUUAGAGUCUUUGGUAAUUCUUUGGAUGGAUAGAAGAUUGGUAAAUAGUUUUGGAACAUGAAGGACAUUUUUAAGAGUAAGGGUUUUGUUUAUAACAAUAUCACCCUGACCAACCACUGUGAUCACAGAACCAUCGACUACUGUUAUCUUUCUACUACUAGGACAAGGUGUAUAUGAAACAAAUUUUUGUGAGGAGUGGGUCAUGUGGUCUAUAGCUCCUGAGUCAAUGACCCAAGAACUUUUUGUGGGUAUAUCCGAGAUUUUAGAAUUUUGAGAAGAGAAUAUACCUGAAAAAACCAAACCACUAGUAGAUUCUUCAACUUCUCAAUUUCUUCUUUACUGAACUCAACAGAUGAUUCUUGAGAAUUCCCUUCUCCAAUGUUGCUGGUUUUGACAGUUUCAGCCAUGUUUCUUUUGAACAAAUUCUACAGGCUUGAGGGUUGAUCGGGAAUGAGAAGAAGUUGCCAGACAAAGAAAAAAAUCCCAGAAUUUGAGCUAAAAAAACGGCUCUAAUACCAUGUUAAGAACAGGCUUUUUCUAUUCCAUCUUAUUCAUAAGAAAUUACAUAAAUAUUUAUACACAUAGUAAGCCUAACUUAGGAAACUCUAUACUAGGAAACAGACUAACUCUAGGGAUGCUGUUUAAAAAAAACAGCCUUAAAGUUAGGGAUAGUAAUCAGUAAAAUAUUUACAGAAUCCUAUCUGAUACACUUAAAUAUUCCUUAAUUUGUAAACUGUAAUCUGACAAUAACCCAACGUGAGGGGAAGCGUGGGAAUCAAGGGACAUUGACUAGUAUUUAUAAAAAUCUUUUAGGAGCACUUAUGUUGAUUGAGGUUUGGUAAAGAUGUUUUUGUAAUAAUUUAUUUACUAGUGGUUGGUAAAGAUAAUUUAAGAGUAAUUGCUGCAUUUUAUAAUAAUCCCCAUUAUUAGAGCCAUAUCAAGCUUUGGAAUAGUUUUGGGUUUUUAGGGUUCAAUCAAAUAUAAAUAUAGGCUAUUGUAACUAAGAAAAAGUAAAAAUAAAAAUAAAAAUAUUUCUCUCUCAUAAUUUUUCAUUCUCUCCCUCGAGAAACUCUUUUUCUCCAAAAUUCUCUUUCUCAACAAAAUUCAUAUUAUCCACAUGGUUCUUGAUGUCGAGCGACAAUGUAUGGGAAGCACAUUUCCUUUUUCUAAAUCAAGAGAAAAGCAGAUGUCCACAAGAAAAGUAUCAAUAAAGGCUAUAACAAAACAAAAACAUAGAAAGCUAACACUUCCAAUUAAGUUCAUCUCUGUGUAGCAAGCCUAUUGACAAAAAGAAGUCGACCAAUAAGCAAAGGAAAGUUUAAUGAGGUUACAGAAGUUACUUGGUGUUCUCUCGUGAUGGGAGCUGAUUAUUCAAUACACAGUCCAAAACCCACCAUGGGAAGUCCUUCUCAUCCUCAAUACCAUCCAAUUCAGUAAUUUUCUUUCUCCAAGGACCUCCUUGAGAACCUUCAGUGAUAAUUGAAGGAGGGGAAACUGUAGACAACUCAAAAGGAGGAUAGACUGUGGAGUCAUUAAGAGCAUUUCCAUCCACCUCAAUUCUUGAAUGAGCAAGACUUCUUGGAGUAGUAUCUUUUCUUGAUAAAGCAUUUCCAUUAGCUGGAGUCUGCAAGCCAAGUCUUUGCCUUCUUUUGGUCAUCCAAUGAGCCAACAGACCUUUAAGGGUUUCCCGGCCUAGAUUAACCUGCCAAAGACAGUCAAAACCAGAUGAAUGCAAUAAUCACAGAUUUCUCACAUAUACUACAUCAAAAGAUUGCCACAAUCAAUGGAAAAACCUAAUACCUUAUCAUCCUCAGACUUGCCAGUUAUAUUCAGAUCAGCAGAAUACAUCUCUGCAGAAAAACAUUGGGGUGUGUCCAAAUGAACAGAGAAGCUUCCAAGUCGGGCAUCCAGAGUGAACCAUGAAGGGAUGCUUACCUAGAAUGGUUUUAAACAAAAAUCAAGAGUAAAUUCCAAAAAUAAAAUUGAAUUAUAUUGAAAUGACUUAACUUCAAAUAAAUAGUUACCGCACCAUCUCAAACAACUGCUCCUUUUUCUCAUCAAAUGAGACCUGGGCAUUGAAAUUAAAGAAAUAUAUAAAUGCAUACAACUAAAAACAUAACGGUGCAUGUACAAGUGCGUUUAUGUGCACCCAACCUGAAAGUGAAAGCAAAGGGCAAUCCACUUCUCUCAAGAAAGAAAGAUGGAAAAUGAGGAAGAAUCUAGUUCACCUGUCCAUAGUCCUCGAUCACAAUACCCUUGAUUAUAUCCCAGAGCUUUACUGAACCAGCAGUAUCCUGUUAAGGAAGCAUAAAUAUAAAAAAAUGGAACUAAAACCCAACAAAUAUAGGUACUGCUAAAUUUACCUUAGUCAACACAUCCCUUCUGUUAUUUAAAAUUUCAUGCUGAACUAUUGCUGGAGUUCCAGGAAUAGUAAAGAUUGGCUCUUUAUAAACAGGAGCCUGCCAAUACCCAAUAAUGUCUGAACAUCAGUAAAGGGAAAGGGAUAGACAAUCACUGCUACAACAAAUUCCACAGACAGCCAAACUUCAAAGAGAUAUCCAUUAAAAAAAUUAAUAAUAAACCAAAACAUUUCAUGGUUCAUGAAAGAAAGUCUAUUACUUGUUCUGUGUUUUCUAGAGGUUGGUUGAACAAGAAACAUAUGAAACAGAACCAUUAACAGCUCAGUGAGAAGCAUCAAAUUCACUAAAAUGCAAGUGUAUAAGCAGAGAUUUUUUAUGAUAAGUGAAGUGAUUUGCUGUAAUUUCAAACACAUAAACAUGAGUACAUACACAGACACUACACUUACUGGGGCUGUCCCUUCUAAACAAACUCUUGCCCUCGAGAAAGACAAGUUUCCAGCCAAGAAUGAACCACCUCUUUGAAAGACCUUCUGAGGAUUUUGUCCUUCAGCAGGCCAUCUAUGAAAUGAAGAAUCUGUUGUUGCAACCCAUAUACUAUCAUCAUCCAAUGCCAACUGCAAAAUUGGGUGUUCCUUUUUGCAAAGCAAUAUACUUUCUCUUGUUGUCAAGUCUGUCAAAUAUAACUGAUGUAGGUAGAAAAGUAAGCACAAGUCGUGAGUUGAAGCUAAAUGUUAGAGGUAGAAGACACGGAUGAGAGGAAUUGUCAAGAUCAAUAACCAAAAAGAUUUAGAUGUUUGGCCAUUAUUUGACAUCAUAAUGAUUUAGAAGUUAUUUAAGCUAAAACAGACAUUAUCAAGUCUUAACAUUAAAUUUCAUCCAGUUAAAGUUAAAAAGUUUUAUUUCGUUUGUUGGUUCAUUAAUUUGGUAAUUUUAACUUUUACAGGAAUUGAAAAUUUUGAUGGUAGGAAUCAUAUUUACUUGAGUUUUCCUUAUUAGGUUUUUAUUCAUUGUUUAGAUGAUGUAAUUUUACCAAGUCAAACUUGAAAGUCUCCUACUUUGCAUCACAUGUCUUUGUAUGAAUAUUAUUACUUGAACUCCAUAAAUUAGCAUGAUUAACUUCAUUCACUAAAAAACAAUUGUAUGAGAACUGCAGCAGCUGUUGUGCCAAUCCUUUCCCUAGUGCAAAGCUUAAGAAAUUCUAGAUGCGAAACCUAUACCUUAAUUCUUCUUCUUACUAUAUUACUUCAGGCAAUGGCUUCAAUCUUACACCAACCUUAAAUCCUUCUAACUCCACUCACGCAAAUUCAUUAUCAAAUUAAACCCUUAACCAUUAAAUUAACACCUGUGAGUACUGUUAACAGUAGCAGCAUAUCCCAAUCUAAAUCCCAUUACCAAAACUCGAAAGCAUCCCAAUCUAAAUCCCAUUACCAAAACUCGAAACCCCUAAUUAUUAUUGUAAUUUCCAAUCCUUUAGUCUAAAUCAAGCCUGAAAUAGUAAUCAGCCAUAACCCUACAUCAGCACAAAGUACUAGUCAAUUUUCAUAUCAAAACAUUAGCAAAAAAGAUAUACAUGUCCAUCAAAUAGGUUUGGCAUGAAUAUGUACUUACAGAAAGAUCUCUACCACCACUGUAAACAUGACCAAAUGUUGGGGUGCUUGCAAGUGCCCAAACAGAAUCUGUAUGCAGCGCAUAAGAGUGCACGCAACGUUGCUGACCAAGAUCCCAUAGCCUACAAAAUAGAAUUAGCCAUUUAAAAGGCAAUGCCUUAGAUUCUAUAUGGUCAAAAAUGGCAUGUGGUUAUAUAACAGCUAAACCAACAAAUUGUGUACCUGAUCAUAGAAUCAGAGGACCCAGAUAAACAAUAUCUGAAAGAAAACAAAAUAUCUGUCAAAAACAUCACUGGUUAAAUAAAUAGAGCAGAAGAGCAUGCAAUCAAAUAACAGAAUUCACCAGAAGAAAAUCAAGGGAAUGACCCAUCAUACAACAAUAAACUUCUAGAUAUGUCCAAAGAAAAUUAUUCAUUCCAAUUUCACUAGAAAGCCAUAUUGCAGUUGAAAACAAAUGCAGACAAGUACAUCUGAUCUGCAUAGAGGCAUAAGCCCAUAACAAGGUUCAGUUUCCUCAGUUCACCCACCCUCAUUGUUCUCGAAAUAGCAUCCAGGGACAAUUGGAAAUGCACCAAAAUUUUCCAAUCAACCAACCAGUUUAGGCCAGUACUAACUGUUCCGCAGUUGCAAGAUGAAUUAUCAGACAAAAAAAAUGCUUCUUGUAAUGCAUAAUAAAGCUCCAAAACUGUAAGGCCUCCAACUAACAUCAAGCAAUUUCUACUUCAAAUCAUAACUAAGGGCUGCAGAGCUGAAUGUAUUGCACCCACCUGCCAGUAGAAUCCAGAAGGAGAGCCCUGGUGUUAUCUAUAUGCCCUCUUAGCUUCAUAGUCUUUGAACCAGUUCUUGGAUCCCAAACUCGCAAAACCUAUAUGUAAGUGAGGUAAAGAUAAGACAAUCUCUUCCAAAAUGUCAUAGGUGGAGAGAAACAUGAUAUUGUCAGAAAACUUGAAUUCAGUAAGAAGCGCAAACUACCUUCUCAGUUCCACCAGACACAAGAAGGGUUCCAUUAUCAUUCAUUGCCAAUGCAUAGACCGACUCUUUGUGGCCUUUGGCAGUGAUGGGGACAUAUCCAUGACACUGCGUUGUGCUUGCAUUAAUGCUGUUAUUCGAGCUAACUGUUCGCAAACUUGAUAUUGUUAAUGGAUUAGCAGAACCAUUGAUACCAAUGGAACAAUCAUCUUCCAUUACAUCACUUGACUUUGAAAGUGGAGUAACCGCAGCUUCAAUAUCCCAUAUGAAAACCUCCCCACCAAGACCACCAGAAGCAACCCAAUUGGUCUAAAAAGUAUGACACUAAAAGAGAAUCAGAAUGUGACUUCUAUAAUCAUAAACACCAUACCUUGAGCACAACCUAUGCUGCCAAAUUAAACACAGAACACUAACAAUAUAGCACUCAGAACCUUUCAUCCAUGCAGCUAACAAAUUCAAAGAAAAUAUUGCAUAGAAAUUACAUUUUUUUCAGCUGCAGCUAAACAUGUAACAUAGUCAGAGUGUUGGCGGAGAGUCCUGGUACAAGUUCCAUCAGACAAGCAGUUCCAUGUCUGGGUAUAACCCAAGGACAGAGCAUAUCAGUACUUGAUGCUUAGUCAAAAAAAAAAAAAACAGCCAGAGGUACAGCAUUAAUUAAUAGAAAACCUUCAGUGUGGUGUCUGAAGAGCAGGAAACAAGUGUAUUGCCACCAGCUAUUACAGUAUCGUUUACCUGUAUAACAAGAAAAUUGUUUUAUGCUCAUUCAUAACUUAGGCAGUAACAGAGAUAUGUUAUAUAUGUGUAAGAUGAUUGGAUGGUACUGAAGGAAACAAAAGAUAAAAGAGCACUCAACAUUUAAAUUGACUAUUGAUGUAAGUGAAGUGCAAUUUGAUUAUAAAUCAAGAUAUAGUUCUACUAGAUCAAAAAUUGAACAUAAAUUAAAUCUUUACAACUUCUAACAGAAAGUUAUCAGCUAAAGUAUGUUGGUUAUGCACAAAUCCAAAAGUAAACUGUCAUAGGCAAAAUAGAAGGUACCCAAUCAACAUGUGACUCAAAUGUGGCAGAGCAAGUGGCAGCAUCUUUACCCAGUGCCCAUCUCUUAAGUGUGCCAUCACGGCUUCCAGUGAAGAGAUAGUUACAUCCAUCAGAGGCAGACGACUGUAGGACAGCUAAACAAUUUAAGCCAGCACAAUGCUGCUAGACAACAUACCAAAGUGCAGAAACAUCAGUACCAAGUGACUAUACCCAAUAUAAACCAAUAAAAUGGUUGAAUACAAUCCAGAUAAUGGCUUUUUGCUGAGAAUAUAAACUGAAUUAAUAGCAGAAUAAUUUGAUUUGAUUGUACAAAAGAUCCUAAGUUAAUUAUGGACAUUUAAUUAAUAUAAAUAAUUAAUAACUGAGAACACAGGCAUCAUUUUCAUUUAAUAUAACAUGCUUCCUAAGUGUAAAAAGCAUCCAAUUUUGACACUGGGCAGUACUAACUCAGAGAAGGAAGUUGUCAAGUUUGACCCAGAUAGAUUUUAAAAUUAAAAGUUUAUAGGCAUAGCAAAUAUACAAUAAGCAUUGCUUACUCAAUACACAAGCUUUCUAGAAUUUUAUAUAUUCAUUUAUAGUUAAAGUUACCAGGAAACAAAUUAAAAAUGCAGACUAAGAAUCCUGAUAAAAUCUAAAAAAUGCAGACAGCAUUAUAGUGAAAUAUAAAGAUAAACAAACUAGAAACAUAAUAAAAUCUAAAUAAGCAAGUUCCUUGAGAUUUCCAAAAACACAUCAAGCAAGACUACUUGUCUACUUCAAAAGAAGGGGGGGGGGGAGGAAAAAUAUGAAGGGAUUUUUAAACCAUAAAAAGAAAUAACCUUUCUGUCAUUGGCAUCGCUCAAUACAUAGGUCAGUCGCUUUUCCUUACGCGGGCGGUUAGAAUUGCCAUUGUUCGCUGCACUGCCCACUCGAUGCAUUGCAGUGAACUCUACAUAAUCAGUCAAGUGAAAAUUUAAAACUUUACCACCUUCAAUGUGGCUAAAUACUAGAAUCUUUGAAUACAAUAGAUUAAGUAGAUAACCUAUCUUGUACAACCCUAAACUCAAUUAAACAAGGACAAAAGUACCUCAAAUUUACCAAAAUAGACCACAGUUAUCUACCUUUAACUGGUAAUUAAUAUUUCUUUAAAAUAAAAUAGUAGCAACCCUUCCACAUGAUUCUGCCAGAAAAGAUUCGAUCAUUCAAUGAACACACAAUUAAACUCUAAAUUAAAGCCAAAUUUCGUCUCAAAAUGCCAAUUAAAUAUACUAAAUAUCGUAGCAGCUUAAAAGUUACUACAACCUUAACCAUUUCAACUAAGAACUAACAUUUAGAUUCUCAUCGAAAAUUCAAACAAAAUAGACCUACAUGAUCAAACUAACCAAUUAACGCCAAAAAAUGAUCAAAGAAAUACUACAGAUUCAACAAUCUUCCCUUAAAACUAAAAAUUAAAAAAAAAGUCAACUAAAAUAAAUUCAUAAAGAAACAAACUAAAAAAGAUCGGUGAGAACGUGAGAAAUCAAUGAUCGGAGAGAGAUUAUUAAAAAAUAAAAUGAGAAAAGAAGUGAAGCUUUGAACUUACCGAAGGAAAAAGAAAUCAAACACGUCGAUGAAAAUCAAAUGGUCAACAGAAAGAUAUUAAAUUAAACCCUAAAAGGAAAAGAAUUGAUACGUAAUUCGACAGCGUUUUCUUGAUAUUAAUUUUGAUCUUUUUUCCUUUAUUGCUAAAAAAUGAGGGAAGAAAUCUUUAUAGAAAAACUAAACGGGAAAACUGCAGACUUAAAAAGAAGUCUAAAAGGAGUAGAAGUCUACAAGAGGAGUGGGACUGUGGGCUGUAGGUUUUUUUAUAAAAAGAUCCAAAACUUUUAAUUAUUUAUGAAAAUGACCCAUGCUGAGUAAAUAACCCGUUUUGAACAUAAAACUGCGGUGUUGCUGUUGCCAUUGGCGGCACCAUCUAUCACAAUGACCCAAUAAUUGGCCCAUACAAUUAUGAUUUCUUUGGAUGUCGUCAAGAGCAGCGAUGACACCAAAAGAAAUCAAAUUUUAAUUUCACGAGCCAAUCAUUGAGUGAUUGUGAUACGUGGUGUUGCCAAUGGUAAUAGCGGCACCAAGAUUUACUAUUCAAAACGAGUUAUUUAGGUAUAUGAUUUUCAGGGCGAGUUAUUUUUAUAAAUAAUUAAAAGUUUUAGGUCAUUUUUAUAAAAAACCUAUAAGCUGUAGGGACCAUGAAAAAUCUAAGUAAUUCAAACAAUUUUUUAAAAAAAAGUGAUUAUCCAAUCUAAUUUAUUUAUUUUUAUUUAAUUCAUAGUUACUUCUAAUCUAUAUCUAUUUUUCUAUUUAAAUUUUUUAUUUAAUUGUUAAAUUAACAAAAGCUUAGUAUUUUUAUUAAAAACUCUAUCACAUGUCGGUGAAUCCAUAACUUUUUUAGGGACUGUAAUUUAAUUAUUGUUUUUUGUAGAUUAAAAUAUAAGUUUAUAUGUAUUAAUGUAUAUUAUUUUUGAAGAGAUUAAAUAAAAAAAUCAAUUUUAGGCGACUAAAAGUGCAGUUUUACUAUACAUUGAUUUAUAAUUUCUUUAUUUAUAAGGGGAUUGAAUUGGAAAUUUUUCAUUUGGGGGAAAAAUGCAAUUUCACUAUGUACUAAUUUAUAGUUUCUCCAUUUAUAAGACGACUAAAUUAAAUUUUUUUCUUUUUUGGGAGAGCCAAGGCCUCUACAGACCCCUUUAGAUUCGCCCUUUGAAAACUAAAUAUUUAAAGCACAAAUGUUAAUUUAAAAAUAACAUACAAUAAAUAAUAGAACGUAGUGUUUGAAAUCAAUUAAUAAUAAUAUAUAAAAUAUGUACGAUAUUAAAAUAAAAAAAUAGAUUAAAUCGUGAAUAAAAUAAAAUUUAAACACGUAAAUAUAUCAUAUUAAAAAUACAAAGUAAAUAUAAUUAUUUAUCAUGGUAUUGUCAUCAAUCUUGAGUUAGUAUUAAGUUGACUAAUGAUGCCAACUCAAUGAACAACAUUAUCAAUACGUGUGUGGAAAUUACGUGUUUAGAAUAUAGAAGUGUGUUUAAGAAUAUCAUACAAUAAAUAAUAAAUUAUUUGGUCUGAAACUAAUUAAUAAUAAAAACACAUGAAAUAUCUCUACUAUUAUUUAAGUCUAUAACUAAGUUGGUAUCACGAGUCAAUCAGGCACCAACUCGAUUAAGGAAAUUACAAAAAUAUAUUUUUAUAUUUAAAAUAAAUUAUAUUAUUUGAUGGUGCUUAUAGAAUAAUUUGAACUCAUGCCAAUUAUAUUUCUGACUCCCCAAAAAAAUAUAUAAUUUAAUUUUGACCCCUAAAAUUCUGAUUUCGCCCCUGCUCCCUAAGUCUUAUUUUUGGAUCUGUCACAGAAAAAGAUCCUUUGACCGUUCAAGUUUGUCGCCCCUACUUUUUUUAGUUAAAGUUACCACGUGUCACAACCACGGCGUGAUAUGUGACAAAAAAAUAAUGAAAAUAAAAAUAAAUAAAAGUUAUAAAAAUUAUUAGAUUUUAAUAAAAAAUAUUAAAAAUUAGAAAAAAAUUAGAAAAAAUUGUAAAAUUUUAUAAAAUUCAUAAUUUUUUUUAUAAAACAUAUAGAAUUAUAGAAAAAAAUUAUAAAAUUUUAUAAAGUCGUAAGAAAAUUAUAAAAAAUGUAAAGAAAUAUAAAAUUCGUAAAAAAAAACUAUAAAAAUUAUCGUACCAAUAGAAUCAUUUUAUAACUUUAAUAGUCAACUGUUAAAGAGCCUUUUUCAGUGGCGAAUCUAGAAAUACGGCUAAGGGUAGGCAAGGGCGAAGUGAAAAAAAAAAUUUGGCGGAAUUAAAUUAUAUAUUUUUAUGAUAGUAAAAAAAUUCAAUUUCGUCAUUUUGAUAUUCUAUAUUUUUAUAAUUUUUAGAGGAUUAAAUCAAAAUUUUAUCAUUUUUGGUGGGCUAAAAUAUAAUUUUAGCAUUACUAAUUUAAAAUUUUAAAUAAAUUAUAAAUGAUCUAAAUGAAAAUUUUCCAUUUUAGGGGGUUGGGCCCUUGCCAGCCUCCCUAGAUCCAUCCCUGACUUUUUUUAUGCAUUUUAAUAAUUUAAGUACCGAAUUGAGUGUAAAAAAAAUGCAGGGGCUUAAUUGCUUCUUCUUUUUUUAAUUAUUUAAGUUUGAGAACCUUUUUAAUGCAUUUUGGUAGUUCAAGUAUCUAAUUGAGUAAAAAAAAAAGUCAGGGCUUAAUUUCUUUUUUUGAAAAAGUUCGAAGGUCUUUUUUAUACAAUUUAAAAAUUCAAGUAUCCAAUUGAGUACAAAAAAAGUACAAAUUUAAUUACUUACUUUAAAAAAAUUUGAAGACUUUUUACAUCCUUAAGUUAAAUAAAAACUAAAAAGAUCCAACCCAAGUUAAUCAAAUGCUAUCGAAGAUUACAUAAAUUUCUAUAUAAGUUACGCUUUUAUUUUGCAAUGUUUACUUAACUUAAAUUCAUUGUUUAAAGUAAAUAUAAAUAGAAGAUUAUAAAAAUUAAAUAUUGAAAAUUUUAACAUGAAAACAAAUUAAUUUAACAAACCUAUAGAAAUUAUUAAUAAGAUUAUUUAAAAUAUAAUAAAUUAAUAUUAAUAUUUAAACACUUUUUUAAAUAACAUUCAUAUAAUUAAUUCUAAAUUCAUUAUACGUUUUUAAAUUAUUUUGAAUUAAUUACUUAUUUGAUUUUUUAGAAAAUUCAUCUAAUAUACAUAAUUGAUUCGUGCAUCACAGUUGAAUAGAAACCAAUUAUAUACCACAAGGUUAAUAUUCAAUUCAGUUAUAUACUAUAAUGUUAGUUUUUAAUGCGUUACACAAUAAAAAUUUAUCACGUGGAAAGGAAAAAGAAAAAAAACAUUUGUAGAGGAAAAAUUUGCAACAUAAGCCCCUCUACUUUUUUUAUAUAAUUUUACAUAAACCCCUCUACUUUUUUAUAUAAAUUUAAGUGGUUUUUUGCAAGUUAAAAAUUCUUUUUAUGUUUAUCCUAUUUUUAUAGACACUAUUGAAUUACAUAUUUAGAAAUAUAAAUAAUGUUAAAAUAAAUGUUUAUUUAUUUAUAAUAUUAUUUAUUUAAAUUAAUCUAAUAUCAAUUAUCAUGUUUUAAAAAUUAGACUUAUAUAUUAUUAUGUUUUAGUUUUUUAAACAUAUUAUUAAUGAAAUGUUACAAAAUUCAUGAAAAUUUUUAAGAAAUAAUUAAAUGUAAUUUGAUUUAGAUACAAUUAUCGCAGAGAUGUCCGACAUAUUCUGUAUCUAACAUUUACACUCGAAUUCACACUCGAAUUCAAGUAACAUGUAUAUAUAUAUUCACGAAAUAUAAAUAGAAUACCCUCGUUGAGAACAUUUCUUAUUCACAACUGAAGAACCGAGACAUUUGAUUUCAGGGUGUAGAAUUUACCGGAAUCUGUUGUGACAUAGGCAAGUUUGAUUGGUCUUGAUGGGAAGGGAUAACAAGCCGCUGCAACGAUCUUAAAGCUACAGUUAGCUCUGCGAAUGAAGGUCGCAAACUUGGAUCACUAAAAACAAUGGGGGCAAUAUAUUAGACUGGAUUUUAGUAUUGUAAUAGAAAUAUAGUUGUUAGUUUAAAGUUCAAGUUCCGGGCUACUUACGUUUGCCAGCAUUGCCAGAUUAUCCUUGCAACUAAAGGAUCAAGUUCCUUGGGAAUGUCGAGGCGACGAUUCUGGAAACCAACAGCACCCACAACUUGCAUUGGAUUCAUUCCGCUCCAAGGUAGUCUCAAAGUCGCAAUCUCCCAAAGAAUGACUCCAAAGCUAUAAACAUCACAUCUAUACAUCCAAAAAAACACAAAAGAAUGCAUGUUAGUUUUAAGCUUGCAGAGUUUACUAAUUUCACAGCUUUAAAAUCCAUGAGUUUCUGCGAGAAAAUAGCAGUCACUUUUUAACUUUGAUCACUAAUAUUGAGUCAUAGUAAAAAAACAAUUAACGCAAUUAUAUGUUAUGUUACUUGGACUCAAGUGAGUUUAUGAUACGGUAGGUAACUUGCAUGCAUAUGUUCAAAUUUUCUCUGAAAUUUCUCUUUCAUUUAGAAGACCCUUGGAGGGUCAUAUCUUCAUACUCAUGUCGAACACAAGUGUAGGACUCGUGUAAUUUAGAAAAAAAAUGAAAAUUCGGAACAUUGAUUAUAUGUAACCAAAAGGUGACACUGACAGCUUAGCAUGGUGAAUUUUGAACUGCUAUGGAGAUAUGAAACUUUAAAUUUUAUGAUCUUCACUAUAUUUUCAGAAAUCCAACAGAUAAUUGAGGAACCAGAGGGAAAUGUUCGUGGAUUGAUCAAUCCUAGAAUGAAGGGAUUGAGCAAUCCUAGAACGAAGGAAGGAAGAUCAGGAUUAAACAAUAUCGAUGGAAGAGAAACAACUCACUUCUCAUUGGAGGGCUCAUUGCGAAGUACUUCUGGUGCCAUCCAUUCGGGCUAAAACAUAGAAGGCAACUCUCAGUCAGAGAAAUGAAGAAAGAACAUAAAUAUAACAGAAGUUACUUGUUCUAUCUAUUUAACUUUAUAAUAUAUUGCACAGUAGGCCAAAGAUACCAACCGUUCCUGCAGUUGAUUUGGAUGAUAGGAAGGUAUUAUGCUUCAAGCGUGACAAUCCAAAAUCACAGACCUGAAUUGUUCAGUUUAGCAAUCAGAGGGUGCAGAGCAAGAAUUCCACAGCAGCCAUACUUAAUUUCCUAAUUCUUUUCCUUGAAAAGAAUAAGAAACUUUAAGAAGCACAAAAGGCUUAAACAUACAAACAUCAUUUACCUUAACAGUCCAGUUUUUAUCAACUAAAAGAUUAGGAGACUUCAAAUCGCGGUGAACAAUGGUAGGUAUGCUGGCAUGUAGGCAAUUCAUGCCCCUAGCCUGCAAAAUAAAAACAGAUUUGAAAUUUUACAGGGAUGUGACAUACUAAAUAAAACAAUUGCAGAAGCAAUCAAUUCCAUACCACAUCAAGAGCCAUCUUAAUUCUUUGCUUCUCAUCAAUUCGAGAAUGAGGACGAUGAAGAAUCUUAUAUAAGCUUCCUCUGGAAAACCAAAUAGCAUUUGAAAAUUUUAGAUCUCAAAGUUUAUCGACAUGUCUGUCACAUAAAUGCAUAUGUAUACUGGUAGUUGUAGACUGCCAACCUUGUAUGUACUUUGCAUAUGCAGGCAUAGACUUACCUUGGAAGAAACUCAGUAAUGAUAGACAGGUUUGGAGGGCGAGUAACAGCACCCAUAAAAAGAACGACGUUUGGAUGGCGCAGUCUACGCAUUAUUCGCACCUUAAUUAGAGAGAAACAGAAACCAGGAUCAGUGACUUGGACCUAUUUAACUGCCAUGACCUUAGGCAUGAUGUUUGUCUUAAAAUAAACUAAAAAAACUAAAAUAUCUGAAAACUUAUUUAACUAACUAUCCUUUUAAGAGAGAGACAAAUGCUCAAAAGUUGCUUACUUCUCUUUUGAACUCAGCCAAAGCAUCACCUGAAAAAUCCUGGUCUAGGAACUUCUUCACAGCAACCUCCUUUAGUUCAAUAACCAUUAGUCAUACCAGCCCAAAAUAAUAAACUAAUUGAUCUUUUAAUUUGUAGUGCAUAACAUCAUUUAGAUAAAGUAUAUUUAUGGUUCAGUACUGAGUUCAAAACAAGGAAAAUAGACCUCGUUACUAUGCUUUACGCAAAUAAUUGUUAGACAGCUUGAAACCUGAAUCCUCUAAAAUACUAAUCGGAGACAGCACAGAGUGAAAUACAAGAUGAAAACUGCGUUAGAGUGCAGCAGAGUAUAUACUAACCGUGCCAUUCCAAUCCGCAUGGUAGACCUCUCCAUAAGAACCUAUUCACACGAAAACAAAAUUUAGAAUACCUCCCAAAAAUGGUAAAAGUUCUUGCAAAGCAAGCAUCAGAAUUACUCAAUUUAAACUCUCAAGAUUUUCAUAGGGAAUAACAAUAGCUCUGUUCUUUUUGUUGAAAGCUAAUAACAAUAGCUCUUAAAUAUAAAACAAGGGGAAUAAAUCUUACAUGGCAGACACAAUAUGCAAGUAUGACUGAAUCAACAUUUAGUUUAUAUGCAAAAAUUGACCUAUGCAUAAUGAGAGAAAUUUCCACAUGUAAUGGACCUCAAUAAGCCACAUCCAUUACCUAAUCCAAUUCUUUCACCAAUAUCCAAGUCUUCCCAAGGAAUUUCGCAUUCACCUACAUCCACAUCAUCAAAUAGUUGUUCAACCUUGCCUUUGCCAGAAUCAAGUGAUGAGCUAGGACUUUCCGGAUCCUUCAAUUUAAGGUUAUUCUCCACAUAUCUCUCCUGGGUGUACUUUCUAUGAUUAUAGAAACCAAUCUCAUUAUCUUGCUCUUUAGCUAAAUCCCCUGUUUUAUUCUGUAAAUCAUGUCCAUUCCUGAAAUUCUCUUCCCUAAAAUUAUUGUUUGCGUCCUCAACCAGUUGUGAGCUAUUAAACUGACUGGUAGUGGAUGCCACAGAUGAGCUAGUAACAGACAAAGAAUUCUGGAUUUUAUUCUCUCUAUUCAACAUAUCAAAGCGCCCAGGGGAGUUAAAUCCGUGAGAGUAGACCUUUUCUGGUUUGGUAGAGCUAGUGGAAGCUGAUGAUGACUGAUUAAAAUCAUUAGGUUUGCAACUGAUUUUUGGAAAGAGGCCCUCCAUAUAAUUGUACUCCUUUUUCUGAGGAACCUCAUUAUAUACGGGUCGGUUCUUCCACAUCAAUGGUACUGGGGGUCGCGCCACAGCUACAUUAUUUCUCAGCCUCUGAAACUCGUCAACUUUGGUCUCUGUAGGUUUGUUUUGCUGGUAAGUUUUGCUAGUCCCUUUUCUCUGGAAUGGAUUAAGAUCUGCAAAAGGAUCUUUUGGGUCCUCUUGACUACUCUGACCAUAUGGCACUACAUUAACGUUCAUUCUCAGGCUAUCAACUACAUUGGCACCACGACUCCCUUUAUUGGCAGAAGUUCUAAUGGCAGUCGAAGGAAGAUGGUCCAACUGAUUAGGGGUCACUCUAUUAGAUAAUCCAGAGGAAAUAACACCAGAAUCAGCUCUUGGACCUGAUAAUGAAGGUAACACUUCUGCAGUUCCAGGGGUCACUCUAUAUAAUCCUGAAGAACUAACAGUAGAAUCACCACUUGGACCUGAUAAUGAAGGCAACACUUCUGCAGUUCCAGUACUUGACCCCCAAUUGAUGGGCAGACUACCAUUGACCACAGGGUGCUGACUACUACCCUCAAUGCUAGAUGGCUUUGCUCUUGAAUAACCAUUAUCAGACGACUGAAGAGUUGGGAUAUUGCUAAUAAUUGGAUUGUAUGGCUUAAAAGUAGCAUCGUUCGCACUUAAAAUAUCAGCAGGUAUAAGUGUACCAGGAGCUGCCAUUAGAUCAACCAAAAAUUCCCUGGAGAUUCAAAAACACAAGAUUAGACCUAAAUAGAAGUAAAAGAUUAAGUUAAGAAAGAAGCACAAGCUAUAACCUUUGAUCCUCAAGCUUUAUUAUAUUUACAGCAUCAUCCUCAACACCAGUAUAGUGGCUGCCUUUUACCAGUAUACAAGGUAACCUUAUGCUAUCUGCCAACACCUACAUUAGGACAGAUAGAAAAUAAAUAUAAACUUUGCACAUAGCCCUAUUACAAAAUUAUGAGCAUAGGAGUGGCAACUAAAAGAACAAAGAUAAAUCAAGGCAAUUUUGUUUCCAGAACUUAAUAGCUAAAUAUUAGAACCUGAGGCAAAGGCAUAGCCCUGUUUAUUAUCAUGACCCCUUCAGAGGGUCAGUCCUGCAAAGAAUGAGUUUUAAUCCCAGCCCAUGAAAAAAUUUCAAGGGUUUAUCCUUAGAAAUUGCAUAGAGAAACAGCCAUAAGUCAACAGAAUAGAUAUGAUUAUUUUGAACUCAUUUUUUUUAUACUAGGCAUAACUGGAAUAACCAUAUUAGAACAGGCACUGAAGUAAUUCUCAAAACUUCAAAAAUUAACCUUGAAGAGUAAAGCACGGUGCCGAGACAGGCCUAUAUUUAUGGAGCCAAUGGGGAACACACUUGUAUGAAGAGAUGUUCUAAGCUUUGUGCUUCUUUUCAUCCAUCUAGCCAAUACUAUAUUAGCAUCUUUAACAGGUCCACCCAUAUGUCCCGUUACAAGUUCAGCAAGCCGUUGAACUAACACAUCAAUAUUGGUAGCAGGGCAAUCUAAAGUAAUACAAUGUGCAAUUUGCAACAACUCUUCUAGGGCUGGGUCAAUCGUUCGAUUGACAAUUACAACUUCAAAGCCAGAAUUCCCGAGAUUCUUUUCAAGAUCAACAAGAGAUGGCAUUUUUUCUUGAAGUUUUGAAUCUGGGGAGAGCCCAUAUACAUCAUAAAAACCAUCCACCACUCUUUCCUCAUAAUCAAGCACAUUGUAUUCCUGGUGAAUAAAAGCAAUCCAACCAGUCAAUUCAAAUUGAAUAACUCAAGAAAUAGCAAGACAUGCAAGAACUCUAUGUAAUAGAGAGUUAUUGCAUCACUUCUUCUACACUGAAAGUAGCUAAGUCCUUUUAUUUUUUAUUUAAUUAUAAACCAACGAGAACAUGACAGGAAGAAAAGACUCAUUCAGUCCAAAUUAUCAUAAUAUAAUUCCAAACAGUAAAUUGCUAAAAUUCCCUAGGCAAGUGUCAAUGGAAUACUAGUUAUAGAAGCUGCCAAUGUUUCUGGAUUAAACAAAUUUCAGUGGUCAAAAGAUUGAAAGAAAUAGCAAGACAACCUGUGUAAAGACCAAAACACCAAACAUCAACUAAAGCAAAACAAGCCAGACAAAAAGGUCAUGACUAAGAGCACUAGAAACAUAUUCUCAAAUACACUUCAAAUUUAUUCCCUUCAUCUUAUAAAACGGUUCCUAUUAACAUUAUUAUCCUCAAUCUCCAAGCUAGGUAAUAACUGCUGGAGCUUCAUUCAUAGAGGCCAGAGCUUCAUUCAAAAUUUUCCCACCAGAAUUCACCAUAUAUAAAAAUCUAAAAUUCAAAUUCAAACCAUAGUUUGGCCUAACCAAUCACUAGCAGCAACUAAACAUCCCAAAUUCAAGCAUAUUCACUUUACUAGAUUCAACACAUACAUUUUCAACUCUCAAAAUGGCAAAGCAAACGAAGACAAAUAAAAUCCCUUACUCAAAACCAAAAAUUCCUAAGAAACUAUCAACACCGAAGUGGUAGAUGCCAUUUCCAGCUUCUCCACCUGAAGCUAAGUAAUGUAGCACAUCACUUUUAACUCAACUAACCAAAAAAGAAGCACAUACCCCUCCCCCCCCCCCCCCCCAAAAAAAAAAAAAAAUUGAAGCUAAUUCAAAACAAUUCCCUCUAGUUCAGUAUUGUAACUUGCCCAAACCAAACAGUCCAAAAAUGCAAUCACGAGAGCCAACUAAAACACUCACAACUCAAGCUCAAUCAAUCCAUUCAAUUCACUAAAUUUCCAAUUUAAACUUAGAAAAAUGAUUAAAAACGAAAACGUAAAAAUGCUUACCCAAUACUUCCUGGCCAAAACCUCAGCUGCCACGUCAUCUUUAACCCUCCCGAACCCUAAAUCCAUUCCAUGAUGAUUCCCUAAGCUCAAAAGCGUCGCCGCUCGGAUCUGAUCUUUCUCCGGAUCCUCGGAAUUAGAAGCACUGAUCGCCAAUGCUAACUGUACCUGAAACUCUUCCUCUGACAACAUAUAGUCCGACGCUCGAUUGUUCGGAGCUGAUGGCGUACUCAAACCAAUGCUCGACAGUACCGGCAUCGGCGUCGUGUUCACCGGAGAUGAUGACGUAGUGGUUGUAGAAGUACUCAUCAGAGCAUUUCCGGACAUCGAGUGUUGAUGAUCGGUGGCGCAUGACGGCGAUGGCGACGGAGACGUGUCGGCUGUCGAAGCUCGAUUAUGUUCGUGAUUGCUUCCUAUGUGUAACUUCUUAAAAAUGUGCUUCAUUUUUCCCCCUUUUUUUCUUUUGUUAUUUUUCAGUUUCCUACACUUUCUCGCAUUUUCUCUCAGUUUCUUUUAUUUUUAAUUUAUUUAUUUUUUAUUUUUGGAAAGGGUCAUGUAAUAAAAGGUGUUGUUAAAAGGAGGGAAAACUUAGCAAAUGGUAUAAUAAGCCUUGGCGGGUAAUUAAUAAUAAUAAGGCUUGACUUUCAGAAAUAUCUACGAAACUGCCAUUCGCAAUCAUCACCACACGCGCUUUCGGUUGACGAUGUCCGAAUUAAGCAUCCAAUGCAGCUGGACACGUGGAUAUUAGGUACCAUGUCACUUGUGGGCUCCACUGAUUUUUAAGAUUGUGUUUGACUAAUCAUUUUAUAAUAAUAACAAAAAUUUCCUCUAAAAAAAGAACAAUCUAUAUAACAUAUAUAUCCAUAUAUAUCAAUCUAUAAUAUGUAUAUAUAUAUAUCUAUACAUGUCCUUGUAAAUCACGAAUUUAACUCAUCCUAUUUUAAUUUAGUUAAUUUUAGUAUUUAUAUUUUUUAAAAUUUAAAUUUUUAAUUUUAACCUAAAUAUUAGUUAUUAAGUUCGUUAAAUCAAUUUUAUUAGAUGAUAGUUAUUAAUAAUAUAAUUUUUUAUAUUACAUAAAAAUAAAAAAUUAAUAUGAUAUUACAAAUGUUGUAAUAUAUUUAUAGUAUAAAAUUUUAAAAAUAAUAAAAAUUAAUUUAAAAUUGAUCGUACGAUAAACAUGAAUUAUAAAAUAAAUUAAUUAUACAAAAAGAAUGAAAAUUAAAAUAUAGAAGCUAAAUUUGCAAUUUAUGCAUAAUAUAAAUACUAAUAAAAAUAUUAACAAAAAAUAAUUAAAUACAUAAUCUCUUACUCAAAAACUCAAUUCAAGAUUUAAUUAUUUAUUUUGAAAACAAAACUUAAUUUGAAAUAAAAAUUGUAUUAUUAAACUUGUUCAAUCGGAUGCAUUUAUUAAAUAAAUAGAUAAGGUCGAUUUAUUCUUAACUACGACCUUGAAUAUUUAUACUUAAAUUCAAUUUUUUUAUUCAAAAAAAUUUUCAAUACUAAUUUAAUUUUAUAAAAAAAAGAAUUACCGAAUUAAAAAAAAAAAAAAACUGUGCUCCCUUACUACUCAAAGAAGACAGGAAGGCUUGAACUAAACUUGCUCAAAAACACAAGCUUGAGCUUGAACUAAUCUUAUUUAUUAUUUCAAACAAUCCCACAUUUAUCUGGAAUCAAAUUCAAACAUUGAGCGACUGCACCUCCAUAAACACGAUCAAUAUUUAUUCCAAUGUAAAUAUUUAUUAAUAUGUGUUAAAACUUUGAAAAGAAAUACAGUGAACUGCAACAAACAGGGUUCAACACCAUGUCCAAACACCAAUUUUUUUUUUUUAUAACCCUAGAAGAAAACAAGAACCAUCAAUGGCGAAAGUUGAUAAUGUUGCUUGAUCAAUAGGUUACCUUCUCCAUGUUUCAUCUCAAGGCUCAAACACCAUACUCUCUGCUUCCCGUUUCACGGACUCAAACAGCACGGAAGACAAGUAUCGCUCUCCAAAGCUGGGGAAGACCACCUGGAUUAGAUCAAAUUUAAAAAAGGGGAAAAUAUUAACCAGUGCUUAGUAACAUUGUAAAACUAAAUGCAAAAGUUAUCAUAAAAAUACGAAUCAAUUAGUACUUAACUAGUGCUUAUAAAGACCCAUUAACUAGUUUGGAGUUCGGACCCUUAAAAGAUACAUAGAAUUCCAAAUAAGUAUAUUACAUCAGAAUCCGAGUAACAUAUGCAAGACUCAAGGCGAAAAACACCAUAGAUGACCUAAUAUAAUUUUGUUCAACAAGAAUGCAGGCGUAUAGAAUCUAGAAUCCAUGUGUAUGCCGAUAGUAUUAUCAGUGUAAUUUCACAGAAAUGUCUGAACUCUCAAUAACCCUUUUCAAUGGCGGCAUUUAUCUUCAAACAUAUUACUUCAAUCACAUGUUCAGAAAGAAUGAUGUAGGACUGAAUAAAAAAAACUUACAACAAUGAGUUUCCCGGCAUUUUCUGGCCUCUUGGCUAUCUCAAUCGCGGCGGCGGCGGCAGCACCGGAUGAUAUACCUACCUGUAAUAUAUGUUCCAAACAAUUACAACUAAAGGAAACUGCAGAAAGAAUCCAACAGAAGCUUGAGUGUCAAUUUUCGGUUUAGUUGUGAACAAGCACCAAGGUAUGGAUUUCCAUAUUGAAUUAUAUCAAGAAAACUGAAGAACCUUACCAACAAUCCUUCUUUCAGAGCAAGUUGUUUUGCAGUUUCAAUAGCUACUUCACUUGAUAUCUGCAGCCAUACAGGUAAUCGAUCAUUACAUGGAACAAGAAUAGCAAUACAUGCAUGAAGAAAAAAGCUGCAAUUGAAGAAAGUGUGCUCAUAUGUCGAAUACCACCGAGUUGCCUUCCCUAUAAGCAUCUAUAACAUAUAUUGAUCAUAGGAUAUGAAAUAAUGAAAACCAGCAAUGAAUUAUGAGAUAAAAGCUGUGUGGCUUAAAAAAACAUAGAAAAAUUUGAACAUUACAGUAUUAGGCACAUACUCCUAUUUGACACUUAUGCUCAAUUCUGAGUAAAUAUAGGAUAAUAGCAUAUAGAUCCGAAGUUGAAGAAAACAUUGGUCUUAAUAAAUUAAAUAUCAUCAAGACUUACUUGAACGACUUCAUCGAUUAAAUUGACGUCUAAAACCCCAGGGAUGAAGCCAGCACCAAUUCCUUGGAUCUUAUGUGGACCUUGAACAUUAAAAAAUGCAACCAUCCAUCAAUAGAUAAAACAUUAAUCUUAUUUUAGCAUGAGGAGUACCGGAAAAGAAUUUUCAGAUGAUAAUGGCAAAAAUAUUUAAUAAUCUUCCUAAGAUUUAAGAGACUAAAGCCAUGCUGUUUGCCUGUUGUCAGGGACAAUGUACAAAAGCUUUGUAGGGAAAAUUUUCAAAUUUGAUGUGAAUAAAAUAUUAUGAUUGGAAUUAUAAACCAGAGGUCUGAGUGGUUUGACUUUGACCACCUGUUUGGAUAUAGUUUGUAAAAGAACAACUUACCAGGUUUCCCUCCAGAAAGCACUGCACUCUCAACUGGUUCCACGCCAACGAGCUGAAUCGAAAAAAGCAAGGAGCAAUGGAAACAUAAGAAACACAAAAGCACAAUGACAGACAAACAAAAUUAGUAAUAGUUAGGGAUCAGAAAGUCUAACCUUAAUGCCAGGAUUCUGCUCUUUCAGAUACUUCCCGGCUCCUGUUACAGUACCUCCAGUCCCGAUACCAGAGACAAGGACAUCUACCUUUCCUCCACUGCCUUUCCAUAUCUCCGGUCCGGUUGUCAGAUAAUGGAUCUAAAACAGGAACAAAGAAUCAAAUCACAACACCCUCAACGGCUCGAACUACUAACAUAUGCGUGAAAAGAGUUCUGAAUGAUACCUUUGGGUUGGCAGGGUUUUCAAAUUGCUGAAGAAUGUAAGAAUUAGGAGUCUUUGACAUAAUUUCCUCAGCUUUUUGAACAGCCCCCUUCAUGCCCCGGGCUGGAUCCGUAAGAACUAGCUCAGCUCCAAAAGCUCGGAGGACCAUUCUUCUUUCUAAACUCAUUGAAGAAGGCAUCGUAAUUAUGAGUCUGUAACCCUUAGCAGCUGCCAUGAAUGCCAACCCUAUUCCGGUAUUACCACUAGUUGGCUCGAUCAGCACACUCUUCAUCAUAUAGGAAAAACAGAAACUUUGUCAAGUUAAAACUUCUCUCCUUGAGUUUAUACUUUCAACAUUAAAGCAACAAGAUCGUGACAUGAGCUCAAGGAAAGCUAUACUUUUGCAUAUAAAAAUGAAAGGAGUUUGAAUAUCGAAUUUAAAAGGAACAAAAACUUGAAAGCCAACAAGCUUCUACAUAAAGCUUUCUCUAUGUAAGUUCAAAUGGUUAACUAGAGAUGCUUUACAAGUUGACAACAACACACAAUUUCAGCCUAUGGCAUAGCUAGAAUAGUAUAACUACAAUCCACUUAAAACCCUAAACCUAGCAUAAACUUGAAUUUUAAGAGAGAAAUAUAGCGAGUACCAACCUCGCCUGGUACAAUGAGACCCUUCUCCUCUGCAUCUGCAAUCAUACUAUAUCCAAUCCUGCAUGCAAAGAAGGUUUUCAAAACAAAGAUUAUAGAACUUCAGUCCUACCAUAAGUUAAUGCAGCGUAAUAGAGUUGAUUACAAUAAAAUAUUCUGAUACAACCGGCAAAAGACGUUUAAUAAAUACCUGUCCUUGACACUGGAGCAGGGUUCCAUUGCCUCCAACUUGGCAGCAAUUUUAGCCACACAUCCAUCUACAACAUUGUUGAGAUAUACCAGUGGCGUGUUACCGAUCAACUGUUCAUAUCCAAAACAAACGAUAUUAACAAGGUUGGCAAUACUUUUAUUGAAUUAAAACACAUAAAAAGAUCCUUUAAUAUUGUUAAUGAAGAUGAACAACUGCUUACUUCGGUGACAUCCUUGGCAAUUAAACUCUUUUCCCCCAUUUCUUCUUUAAGUUACUGCACAAACAUUCCAAAGAUUAAAUCAUUUAGCAAAACAAGCCAAACAAAUUGAAUAUGAUUAAGUAGUCAUGAUUGAAACAAAACAAAAAGGAGCGCGAAGACAUUUUGAGCGCUUGAAGAACAAUAACAGUAAUUUAAAAUAACAAUUAGUUUGUCUAAAAAAAAAAAGAUUCAUUACGAAAGAGAAAUUAGUUCCCUAAGAGUUGAGACACUAAAGUGACUAGAAAUGACUCUGAACUUGAUCAAUCCAAAAGCAAAAUCGGAUCCCAUGAAAGUUACAGUAAUGAAGAGGAGGAAAAACCCAGAAUCAAUAAAAUAAAGAAGAACAUAAACAGCCUACGAAAAAAACCCAUAAAUCCAAUCUUAAAAACACAAACAAAACUAUAAUCUGACAGAUAUUUAAAGUACCCAACCUCCAAAAGUUGCAGAAUUCACAAGAAAGAUGGUGUUUUUCAGUACAAUCUGUGAAGCAAAAAUGAUAUAUAAGCCAAAGACCAAAGAGUUCAAAGGCUUAAGUAACCUCGAGAAAGCUGAUAGACAGGAAAGCUACUUUAUAGCUGUUUGUAUAUUAUCAAAAUUUCCUCUCUUUUUUAUUUCCAAUUUUUUUCUUUUGUACUUAAAAGAAAAAGCCAAUUUGGCCAACAAGGCAACUAACGGGGUAAAAUAAAAUAAAGUAAACUACAACAAAAGUCCCUAAAUUAUUAGCAUAUUUACGUUUUGAUCAUUUAGUUUUAAAAAGUUACAAAAUGGUCAUUAAACUAUUUGAAAGUUUUUAUUUAAAUCACUAAACUAUUCGGAAGUUUUCAUUUAAAUUAUAAGUUUUUCUCUUAAGGUCCAGCUAGCGAGCUCCAAGCGACGAUUUGACGAUUGGUACGAUGGAUCCAUCGACGAGUAGAAAAACAUGCCUUAGAUCCAAGUUGAUCUAAUGGUCAAUGUUGGAGAUUGCAGAAAAAAGUUGUUUGGAUUUUGGUUUGCAAUUUCUUGACGUUCAAAGACGUUUCAUGAAAAAAAAAUGAACUAUAAAAGAGAAGGAUAAAAAGAAAUUUAGGUUAGUGCACGCUGUGAGAACAUAAAAGGCCAUAUAACAACGAUUUGAAAAGCUCAAUGACUUAAAUUAAAACUUUUGAAUAGUUCAAUGAUCAUUUUAUCAUUUUUUGAAGUUAAAUGACAAAAACGUAAAUUUAUUAAUAGUUUAAUGACUUGGGUAGAAUUUAUCUACCAUGUAAUUUAAAAAAUAUACAUAAAAAAGACGAAAUCCAUUCAACCUGGUCCCUCUUAAAAAAAUUUUAUUUUCUCAUUUUAAUUUCCGAACAAAAUUAAAAAUGAUAAUAACAAAGACAAAAGGGUAAACUAUCAAAAAGAAAAAAAAUUAAAUUGCUCAAAACUAAAAAAUAUGGGGACCAAUUGUAAAAUUUAAUCUAAAAUUUUUAAUUUUGCCCAAAUUCUUUUUUAUUAUCAUUUUACCCUCCACCUCUCUAGUUUAGUCAAAUUAGUGUUUUUAGACGAAAAAAAUUUGACUCAACUGUUAAAUUUUUAAGGGCACUUACCAUAAUAUCCCUUAUCCAAGUAAACUUAAGCAAUGAGUGUUACAUUUAACACUGAACAUUCACUUGCAAAUUCAAAUACUUUAAAAUUGAAAUUUAACGAAUAAUUUCAAGUCCUUAUUAUGCUUUUAAGAACAUAAUUUGACUAAUAAAAAAAAUCAAUUGCAUGUAAAAUUUGUUUCAGGUCUCACAUAAAAUUUAAAUUUAUUAUAUGUUUUUGAAAUAUCUAUGUGCUUUUUUUAUAUCUUUUUAACGUUUUUAAAUUAGGAUCAAAUUAAGAUCAUUUAUAAAUUUUAAGAGUUAUUUUAAAAAAAAUUAUGAAUAAAUUAAUAUAAUAUGUCAUCCAUGCAAUUAAUGGAAAUGUACCCAAAAAAAACAAUACUGAUUUGGUAGGUGAUUAAUUUAAAAAAUUUCAUAGUUGAUGACAAAAAAAAUAAAUUUAUAAUUAAAUAGAAAUUUAAUAAAAUUCAUAGUUAAAUGACAAAAAUAAAAUAACCCAUAAUUGGGUGAUGUGUGUUGUACUUUACCCUUAGUCAUAUCUCCCUUUGAAAAAGAAAGUUUGUCUUCAGCGUAAACAAGGAAAGGAGAGAGAGAGCUGAUGUCAACUGGCACUUGGUGACAUGGAAAAGUCCAAACGAAUAUAAUCACAGGUUGAGAAAGAAAAAAUGAUUUAUGGGUUUUUUUUCUUUAAAUAAAAUAUAUUUUAUUUUCUGUUUUGUAACUUUGGUUUGGAUUUGUUGAUAUUCGGCCUUUUGUUCUGUCAUGCCCCAUCCGUCCAUAAAUUGAUUUUUGCAAUGACUGGACAUCUCUAUUAAGGCAAUAUGGUAACAUUUUACUGAAUUUAAAUCAGGUUAAAUUGAAUUUUAUAUUUUUAAUAGCAUAUCAUUAGGUAUAUACAAAAGUUUCUAAAAAAUAUACCAAUAAUUUUAAGAAUAUUUGUUAAAAUUUUGGUAUUUAUAAUAAAAAUUUUAAUAUACCAAAAUUGUGUUACAUAAAGAUAUAUUCCUAAUGAAAUAUCAAAAUAUCUAGAAGCUAUUGAGUCAAGUGAACCGCCUUCCAAUUAACAGUUUUAAUACAAACAAUCUGUGUAUACUUUGCAUAUAUUCCUAACAUAUGGUUAUUUUAUUUGAUUAAACAAUUAUUCCAAAAUUAUCUUUAUAGGGGCAAUUCUGUACAAAAUUUAGUAUAAUAAAUUGAAUAAUACUUAAAUUAAAAAAGUAAUAAAUUUAAUUAAUUAGUUUUUUAUUAUUAUUUGUUUUGAUUUAAGUAGGAUGAAUCAAAGUCAUUAAUGUUAUAAAAAAUAUCAAAAGUAAUGUUUAAAAUCCAAUCAUGAAAAUCUCAUUUUACCCCGAAAAUGUUACAUUCCUUGAACCAAAAGUAACCUAAAAGCCUAGUAUUUCAAUGUCUUUUUCUAAUAUUUUAGAAGGAAAAAAAAGAAGCUAAAUGGCAAAAUAAAGGAAGGGAACAUUAAUGGAAAUAACAAAGUAUUACACUCAAUAAAUAUAUCAAAAUCUGCUAAGAUUAAACAUCAGUUGAACACCAAAAUCCAGUUUUUUCUUUUUUAAAAAAACAAACAAAACAGAUUGAAGAACACCUAAACACUUGUGUUGGAAAACAUUGGCUCUAAGUUACAGCAUCAACUUCACCUCUUCUUUUUCAAAUCCUUGUAUCUCACUUCUUCUUUGCUGCUUCACUGGCCUUGGUCUGUUCAACAAAGCAAAAACAUUCAUAUAAUCAGCCUCAACAACCAUCAAUCGUAGAUUGAUAGCAGUUUGAGUAGAGUUAUAUGGUGAAAAUCAUCGAGUGAUAUUUACCUUUUUUACUCCUCGGAUCUUCUUAGCCCGAUUCUUCCUUUCCUUCAUUUGCUUUCUCGAUUUCUCUACCUUGGAAUCGAGUCCGUUCUGAAAAAGUCAUGCAAAAAAUAAUCAGCAUCUAGAAUCAUAUCUAGUCAAUUCAAAGAAACGGUGAAAGAAAUGCAACUCAUGACUAAUGAUGGAAAGACGAGGAAUAUGCAAUGGCAAGCCAGAAGAUUUAGAACCCAUUUUCGAUAUCAAAUAUCAAAUAACUUAAAUUCACGGAAACUUAUAAACUAUGGAUCAAUGCAUUACAUAUUUACAUUCUAUCUCAAGUUUUCUUCAAAACAAGGCAUUUAUAAAGCACAAAAUAGAUGAAAACUCUAGUUCCAUAUCCAACUUGUCAUUUUUUACAAUGAAAGCUGAUUUCAGAUUCUAUAACAUCACCAUUACGAGUUGUUUUCAGUAAACAGAUCGAAUGCAGUGUUUAGAGUAUGAAAAGAGAAUUCCACAAAUAAACUACAUCGAGAAAUAAACAUCAACAUACUAGACAUGAAGCAAAAGCAGUUUAAAAUACAAACAAAUUCCAGAGAAAAAGUACAGAAAAUACAUCAGAAAUUACCCUGAUUAGCCUAUACUUGGGCUCGUACUUCUUUGCGUUCUCAACAGAAUCAUAUAUCAAACCAAAUCCGGUAGAUUUACCACCUCCAAAAUGGGUUCUGAACUUGAACACAAAAAUUGAAUUGGGGUCCUUAACCUCGUACAUUCUAGCAAGCUUCUCCUUUAGUUCAGCCUAAAAACCCAAACCAACAUCUCAAAAACAGGAUAACACAACCAUGAAACCAAUCCAAAUUUUCGAACAUUUAUGAUUGGUGUAGUUCCGAAUCUUCAUUUUAUUUGAAGCUGACAUGUCCGACACAUAUUCGGGUAUAUGAUAAGACUAUAAUAUUAUUAGGAAAUGUCAAAGAUUUACCUUGGAAACAUUGGGCCUCCCAGGAUGCAAAACAUCAAUGAUCUAAACAAAAAAGAAGCAGCAAAUAACAAGCUUUAGCUACCAACAAUGAACUCAAACAGAUACAAGCUAAUAUUUCAUUUCUCAGUUCCCCCACCCCCAAGAAAACAAAUUAAGCAAAGUCCUAAAUUAAGCAUCUUAUUAUCAAAGUAAUAAAAUCAGCAUUAAAUUUUUUCACUUAAGUUCUUAUAUUCCUUUAAUGAGAUCUCUCAAAGAAUGUAAUAGAAAAAAUAAUGGAAGUCAAGUGAAAAACCCCAAGACUAAAAUUUAACAAUGACCCAUGUUUGACUAUCAACAAAGUAGAUGGAAAAUGAGAGUGAGAAAGAAAAAGAAAAGCUUACUCACAAAUUGUUUCCUGGAAAGUAGCCUGUUGGUCAUGAACUUCCUGGUCCUAAUAGUCACUGCCUUGUCCGCCAUGGUUAAGCAAGAAUCUUUCUCUUUUUUUUUUCUUUUUUUUUUCGGAGCAGUUAUACAGUGAAAGCUUUCACCAGCAGCACCAACUCUCAAGGAAAAGGAUUGUAUAUGGCAAAAAAAAAAAAACUAUCUUAUAUGAUUAGGGUUUCAGUUGAUUCUCGAAAAUAGAGAGUUAGGGUUUCAGUGGAGAGGGUUUUAGCCUUGAAUUGGGCUGUAAAUUUGGGGAUUUUGGUUUUCCAGGCCUGCUAUGUAAAGCCCAGUAUUUUUUAAUGCUGGUUAGAGGCAUAAUAAUAAAAUAAUUUAUUUUUUGAAAAUAUAAAAUUACAUAGAUUUGACAAAUAUAUAAAAUUGACUUUACGUGGAUGACCAUCUGUAAAUUUAUCACCAUAACCAUAGAUUUUCAUUAUUAAAAUAAAUAAAUAAUUCAAUUAUUAUUUUAAAAAUCAAUAGUGGAAAAUUCUUUAUAUUCUUAUUUAUUUUUCCCUUUAAUUUUAUAAAAAAAUUAUUUUAACAAUAAUUUAAUUUUUUGUUUUUUAGUCCUUAAACUUAUAUUAUUUAUCAAAUUAUCUCAAAAUAGAUGAAAAAAUUAACAUAUGUUAACUUUAUUGAUGUGGCAUCCAUGUGUAUGCUUUUAAAAAUUAAAAAUAUUAAAUAAAUAUAUUUUUUAAUUUUUAUACUUUUUUGAAUGUUUUAUAUUUUAAAAAAUAAUUAAUUGCUAAUAUGGUAUUACAUGGCAAUUCAUUUUGUAUCAAAAAUUAAAUAAAAGACUAAAAUGAAUUUUUUGUACAGUUGAAAGGUCAAAUAAAUCAUUAUGCCUUAUUAUUAUUAUUAUUAUCCAAACAUGGCAAUAGAGAAACAUUAUUAUGCCAUUAGAGCAGCUAGGAAAAUUCUUAUGAAAUGUCAAACUGAAAUUUUCAUCUUCGAAUAUAUAUCAAUCAACGUACACAAUACCAGAGUUUCUUAUAUUUAUAAUGACAAUAUUUAUUGAUUUAAUUCUUCAGAAAAAAAAAGAGUAACUUUCAACAUUUUCUCAGGAAAAUCCUCUGCAAUUUAUGCCUAGAGUGCUCACUAGGAGGCUCUGGAAGUAGCAUUCAAGAACAGCUCAACAUUGCAGUAGAUUAUAAAAGUAUUGUAGUAACUGCGUUGAGGAUUGUCCAACAAAUUAUUUAUCAAUGAUAGAAGAAUAUGAAUUUUUUACUUACGACCGUUAUGAAUUGAAUUAUAAUCAAAUUGUUUUGAGUCGUUCAUCAAUGUCAGUAAUUGUCGAUUAUAUAAUUCGACCGUACUCUAAAAAUCUGUAUGUAGCUAUGUGAGCCUUCCUGUGUUGGAACAGCUCGGAUAAGUAUUAGAUUAUAUGACUGCACAGAUAAGAAUUAAGAUAAAUGUAAGUGCAGCUAAUCCGAGUAUUGCACCGAAGAACCAGCAAAUCUUCUGGAGAAAACUCAGUGGAGUCGAAGUACUGCCUUGUUUCGUCUGCAACGCAAAAAGAGAUCAACAAAGCGAUUUGGAGCUUAAUUUGUGAACAAAUCUGUUUGAAAUAAGAAACGAAUACCUGCACUUGGCUCGUCAUCGAUACAUCGUUAGCCUGCACGAACAUAGCAACAAACAAGGCCUUUUCAGAAUGCAGAAGCUCAGGGAACAAUGAUUUUAAAUCUCAUGGAAAUACUAUGAACAUACAAUAAGUGGUCGGAAAAGCUCUCGAUCCUCUUCGGACAAGAAUGAUUUUGUUCGAUCUGCAAUCACAAGAUGAUUAACUCAAACAAAGUUGGUGAACGUUUGUUUGAAGGCAUUGAAAAGAGACCUUCCUAAGCAUCAGUUUCCAUGAUACGUGUAUGGUAAUGGCAUGCAAUGUAACGAUAGGAGAGAACUAGUUAAUUCCGGAGAGCAAACCGGUCCAUCCAUUCAUGCAGAUUACGACGUAACGCAGAGAAAUCGAAAUCAUAAUUGGAAAUCAUAUGCAUACUAAGAUGGUGAUGAUAGGAUCUUCUAGAUCACUAUAUUAGCUCAUUUUGUUCUAUUAGAAGUUGCAAAUCCUAUCCUUUACCCACUCCAAGCAUUCGGAAUAUAGAUCCGUUCUACCUUGUAUGUUGUCGGUGAUGAUUUUGUUCAUGUCGUUGUGAUUUCCAUGAAUCGAGUUUCCAGGCCUGCAAAGAAGAAGAAAAUUGCAAAGCUAAAUAAGUUCAAACCCUGCAGUUUCCAUAACAAUCUCUGUAUGCUCUCCCGUUAUCAUCAUAUUGACAUUGCUCCUUCUCGACCGGGAAGGUCAGGGGUUCGGGACAUGGUAACAGCCAGCCUCUCUGCAAAAUGCAGGGGAAAGGCUGCAUAUGACAAACAUCCGACCAUGUGCACCGGGAGACCACCCUAUUUAUCAACUAUAGACUUUCCGAAGUCAAUGGCCCGAAAUGAAAGAACCCCGACAUGAGAACCACAAUACCUGCUCGAAGUUGGUAAUGCAUACAGUCUAAGAGCCAAAGCUUUGAUUCUUAGCUGCAUAUCCGAUAGCAUCUUCCAUCUAUAGUCGAUAUCUUCAUUCGUUCUGCAAAUGUACUGCAGCAACAGGUUACUUAUGUAACAGAAUAAGAACAAAUCUAACACAUAGUUCAUCACUUCAGUUGAGAGUCUGAUACGUAUACAUAAAUACAUACAUUAUAUAUAUACAACAUUCAAGCAAUCCAUUUAUAGAUUUCGAUAAGGGGAGAAACAUUCUUCGAUGCUUAAGUCAAUAUAUUUCGAGUUAGGUUACCAUAAAAACAGAUUAAGAGCAGGAAAUUAAACAAACAAUCUAAGAUGCAACUUAGAGAGAAAUAUCAAACAUACAAAAUGGGUUUUGAAGGAGGGUUUCUAAGAAGUGAUUCAAGUCGAUCAAUUUUGAUCCCAACAUCUAAAAGCUUGGAACGAGCGGCAAUGUCUAUAACGCAAUUUCCAUGGUUUUGAAGUGAUGGGUUCUUGUUGUUUACUCUAUUUUCUAUGUCUUCCACCAACUUCAAUGCUUCUUCAGCUUCCCUUAGCCAUGCAUCCGCCAUUAAAGCUUGGUUGUACAUCUUCAAAAAAGUAAUUGUUGUGAUUCAAAAGGAAAAACAACAGCAAUGUCUGGUCUAAUGACUCAAAAAUAUGAACAACUCAACCAAUGGUAUUGUGUCAGAUCAGAGGAAACUUAUAUGGAAACUUUGUUGAAUUAAUUAUUUUUCCAUUUAAGUUACUUUUUGGGUGUUAAAAUGAUUGGAGUUUCACCUAUUGUGGUUAGCCAGCUAAGAUCAUCUGCAACGGGCAAGGUUUUUUGUCCAUGAAAAUCAUAUGGUCUGCAAUUUUUCUCUUUAUUUUUUUUAUUUUUCACGCGAGGACAAUUAUUACAAGCAGUUCCAUGAAAAGGACAUGAUUUGACAGAUUGUCAAUGUUCGAUCCAAGACAAAGGUUUGUGAAAACUGAAAUGGAAUAAUUUUUUUUAGUAAUUAAAUCCGGACAUCUGUGUAUUUUAGUAAUAUUAGCUUUAACAUGUAAAUAAUUUAUUUAAUUAUUUAUAUUUAUAUUUUUUUUAAUUAUUUGUCAUUUGUAUUAUGCGAUGUAUUAUCCUAUCUAAAUAAAAGUACAGGAAAAAAAAUAUCAAGGAAUUCAAACUGUUUUCUUUUAAUUAUUUGAUACUAUGAUCUAGAUUCCACAAUGGUUGUUUGAUUAUAUCAAAAAAAAAUGAAUGAACCAAAUUUGAUUUGGUAUUGGAACAAAACAAUGGUUUCUUUUCUUCCAAGUAAAGUUUUCUCAACUCUUACUCAAACCCCUAACCUAGCCAAUUCAAGUUUUUCAAACCUCCAAUUCUUUUUCCCCAUCUUCAAGCUCUUCACAGCUUUGUUUUAUGGAAUCUUUACUCCAAACUCGGCUUUUCUUACCGGAUUUCGAGCUCCACACGAUUUUGUUGAUGACUUCUUAAAUGAAACAAAGUUUGCUUGGAAUUUUUAUCAAUGGAGUUUUCAACGGAACUAUUACGAUUUUCCACUUGUCUCAAUUGAUGGAUAAGUAUGGAUAAGUGAUUAAAUAGAAACUUGUUUAGGCUCCUAUAACCUCAAUUUCUCUUCUGCCAUUGUCACAUCGGCUGGCCUCUCCAACUUCAUACCAACAUCCUCUGAAUGCAGUCCUACUCAUGACAUCCUAGAUUAAAAACCGAAUUGCACAACAUGAUACGAUUCUUGAAUCAAAGUUUAAAGAGAACCAAUAUGUACCUCCAUCAACUUGCCAAGAUCGAACUUGGGAGCCUUUCAGGAUCUUGACUUUACGAAUGAAAACAUUUAGUAAGGGAUAAAUACUUUAUGCUACUUCUCAAUCUCUCUACCAAUGACCUCAGGGAUGAACCUUGCGAACAAGUUCUUUCAGAUCAUAUGAAGAGGCCUGGUUAAUCAUAAUUUUUCUCAUUUUCCGACGAAUCUGACAAAAUAACAGUUAGUAUGAAACAUUGAAUAUAAGUCAAAAUAUGUCUUAAGAAAUCGAGUCAGGAACAAAAUUUUUGAACCAGACAAAUCUGGCUGGAUAGAGCAUAAUAGGUUCGCUUAACCUCGUUCGAUAGUCUUAACAUUGACAUAGGAUUCCAUCAAAAUAUGUCUUAAGAAACGCAUUUUAACCGGCACGGCUCAUAUUUUAGCUUCAAAAUACUUGGUUUAAACAUAUUGUCUCUCAAAUUGACAUAUGCAAUGUGCUCUACAAACUAAUUAAUUUAUCAAAACAAAAAGGAUCACAAGGAUUAAAGCUAUAAGCCUGUAACUAUUAAUCCAUGCUAAGAAUCCCCUUAGCAUUGUAGCUUCAAUUCCUAAACAAUAAUUGCUUCAAUCAGAUCGUUUUGAAUACCAUUUAAGAACAUUCGAACUGUGAAAUAAAACAUAGAAAGGAGCAUUAAAAGAAUAAAAAAGAAAAGGGUUUUGCCAAUGUUCCUUUCAUUGAACAAUGAAGGUGCCUAAAAAAAAAAAAAAGAAGAUAGUCGAAAAUAUUCGAAUCCAUAAUAUUUGAUUAAGAAAAGACAAUAUGACCUCUAAAAAAGCUCGAAUCAACACUAUCCAUUACGAUCUUGAUCGAAAACACAGAAAUGACAACAAUGUAACUUAAAAUUUAGCAAAGAUUGAAACAUUUUUAAGAUAUUAAAACAUUCCUGAAAAUUAUCUUUGGACCCCUUAUGGGGCAAUAAUCAAAAAGCUUUGAUUCAAUGUCGUUAGGGUUUAACACUAAAUUUUCAAACUUCUUAAAGCAGAAGUAAGCAAGCCUAGUUUAUCAUCAGCUUUCUGCCUGUAUUCUUUCUCCAAGGCUUUUGCUGCCAAAGACUGCAGCUCUGGACUCUCCUUGUCUUCCUUGUUCCUUCCUUUUGAAACCUGUCCGAUGGCUGAUGUGCACUGAACAAGAGGAUUCAAACUUUGGGUCAGAAAGAUAAAAUACGAGGACAUUGAAAAGAGUGAGUGUGAAACCCUUCUUUUUCCAGUAAGAUUUCAGUUAGUAUAAAGAUGAAGGCCAGUGCAUGAGUUCUCAAAAGAGAAGGAGCUUACCAAGCAAACUCCAAGAAGUGCUCUGGUAUUCUUGCCUCCAGUCAAGUCAAUAGUCGAUGCAUAGUAUUUCUUCGAGGUCUGAAGGUUUUCCAGUCCACCGAGUGUGUAAAGUACCUGUUGAUGAAAAAGCAUAGUGCGUAAUCAAUGAAAACAAGAAUUCAGAGGAGAAUCAGAAGAGUUCGAGCUAGAAAUCUUUUGCUGAACCAAUGCAAGGUGAAAAGCAUUAUCCUGUGAAACUGUAAAGACUCGAAACUCGUGCUUGUGAAUUUCCUUUUGUGGGACAAAACAGUAAGGUUUUCGAGUAAAAACAAACAGUAUCUCCACACAAUGGUAUCAAUGCCAGUUUGGGUGCAGGGCUCCACAGAGGAAGACAGAUCCAACGUCUACCUGGGAGUUUCCUUCUUGGUUGGGAAUCAUUGGUCAUUUGCAUUUUUGCAUAACCACAAUCACUAAGGAAUUGGUUCUUUGUUUUAGGAUCAUCCUAGCAGAAUCAUAAUUACUACCGAACCAUUUCUUUGUUCAUUGAGCUCAUUAAGAGCCGAGAAUAUACUUAAAGAUGAGCGUUUACAAAGGGAAUGCUAUUCUCUAGGAAAAUUGGAAUGUGAGAAACUGCUAAUGAAAUUGCAUACCAGUUUCUAACUAUGAUAGUUUGAGUUUUCAUUUUCCUUGAAGUAUCCUUAUCCAACAUAUACUGGACAUGGGUAAGGAGGUACGUUCCUCUUAAAAAAACUGAGCAUACACAUGCCAGAUACAUACUCAUAUUUCGAUAAUCAACCCCCCCCCCCCAAAAAAAAAUUCCGAGUAAAAGAAGUUUUUAACUACAAUAAAGAAGAAACUUACAUCAGCAUAGGCCAGAUGAUACAAGGGAACUGUUGGUUGAGAUAAAAUAAGCUCCUCAUAGCAGAAAGCGGCUUGUUUGUACCUGAUUUAUCAACCAAAAAAACAAAAAAAAAAAAGAAGCUUAAAUCACUGCUAUUUUAUGAUUGGCAACAUAGUUAAGCUGUAAUAGAUUAAAACUCACAUUUGUAGGGAGACAUAUAUCUCUGCAAGUUCUCUCCAAGCAUCAUGAUCUGCCAUAAAUCUAUCAAAAGAAAAAUGGGGAAAUUGAGUGACAUUUGCUCUGUUGUAUAGUAUCGAAUUAGGAAAAUGUGUGACAGCAGAAAGGGGGAAAGAGAGACAGAGUUUUCUGAGAUAUCUCACAUUUCAAGAUAUUUAUUAAGCGACUCAAUAGCCCCUGAAAUAUUUCCUUGAGCCUUUGCCAUGGCUACUUUCCUCUUAUGUAUUACCUGCCCAAGAUAGGGUUUAUUGUCAUUGGUUUCUUUUUUGUUUUUUAUAAAAGAAAUAACCAAUUAUAUUUCUCUUUUAUCCAUUACAACUGAUUCUUUUUCAAGAAAGGCAGAGAGAAGGAGGGGAAGCGAGGGUCGGAAAGUGGUCACAGAAUUUACUUGAUCAAGUGGAUUGUCCUCUAAAAGACUAGAGUAAACUUUUUCAGCCUCAGCCCACAAUCCCUUUGCUUCAAGCAACAUGCCCUCCAGCCUCCCUGUAGACCAUGACAAAACAAAACCACUAGGUCAUCAAAUGUUCGGGGACAAUGAAUACCUUCGCCAGCAUCCUAUGGAAUCCAAAAUUAUACAAGAACUGUUUAUGUUUAUCCAUCCUUAUUCAAGCCAUAAUAUAGUAACAUAAAAGCCCAAUAAGGUUUGGAGUAGAAUAUUGACUGAGAUGUUUGGAAGAAGCUUAAUUCAAGUGUGUUAAUGAUGAAAAGGUAAGCCAUGAGUUUAUGAUUCACAAAUCACUGAAACUACGGCAUAAAUUAGUGUCAACAUAUAUAUACCCUUUUCGUAACACAAACGGAAAAUGUAGAACAUAUUUAACAGUCAUAUAUACUUACCAACCCUUUUGCUCUCUGGAAAUUUUUUCAGUAGAGCCUUUAUACAAUCCUGCAACAAUAAAUUGUACCAAUUUAAGACAGGUAACUUCACAAAUCUACUACCAAAGCAUCUAUGCUAAACAGCACUGUGAUUCAAGAAACAACGUAAUAUGCAGAUAAGCAUACAAACUGUUUCACUGGAGCCCAAACCAACAACAUUCAAUAAGAGUUACACCAUUUUGCAUAUAAAACAGGCAAAAGUCAUAUCUUCCUAACUAAUGGCUUCAUAAGUGAUGAGAAAACUGUAAGAACAAGCAAGACCUUAAAGAAUUCUUUCCAUCAAAAAAGAAAAUUACUCUUAACAUGUUCGAAAGAGAAAUCAUAUAAACAAUGAGAGUGGUCAAUCCAGAGGCGUGAUCAAUAUUUAAAUAGGAAACAGUAGAAUUAGUUUUACACAUAUAUGCAAGUCCAAAAUGCGAAAAUCAAUUUAACAUAAUAUGAAAACGGAAAAGCUUAAAAGAAAUCUAAAAUUGAAAAACUCAUAGACAAGAUUUGUACCUUUGCAACGUUGAGACAUUGGCAAUCCAUAGCAGCAAUAGCUACCUGCUCAUACAAAGUCCAUUCUGUAUCAAGAUAUAAGUACUUGUUAGUAAUUAUUACUGUUUACCGCUAUAAAUCAACUGAAGUAAAUCGCAAUAUAAAAUGAGAACUCAUAAAUCACAUUCCUAUAGAUAAAAUAACACUGAUUCACUGAUGCUUAUUGCCCUUCGAGGUGUAUAAAACUCAAUACAAAGAGAAGCACUGGAUGAUGUCACGGCACAUGAGAAAAAUGUACAAAACUAAGAUGAGUUCUUGUAUCUAAAUGCAGGUAUAAAAUUAACCAAAAGUCUCAGAGGUAUAAAGCAUUACAAAUUGUGCUUCAUCAAGCUUACCUAACUAUUUUUGUUUACUUCUCAAAACCUCAGCUGGGAAAUGAAUAUAAUGAAAACUCAACCCGACUUUCUUACAAAGCUAAUUCUUAUUUUAAUGCCUACCAAUUCAAAUCAAGCUUAUUUCACUUUCAAUUUUACACACAAAUAUAAAAUAUCUAAUUUAUAUAACUCAAAUUAAAUCAAAAUGUCAAUCUUUUUCUUAAAAAAAUCAUUAAGCUUCAAGUUUUAAAUUCAAGCAAAUCAACAACAGGGGCAACAAUUCAUAAAGCUUUGAAUUCAAGCAAAACCAAUAGAAAGAACUAAAAGACUAAACUCUAAAACCCCAAAAAACCCCAAUCACAAAAACUCAAAAUUCAAGCGAAACACUUUAGAAUCAUUGAAUUCAAGCAAAACCCAAAUCCACAAGUCACCCAAAGAAGCUAAAAGGAAGACUAACCUUCAGGGCCAAGAGCAGAUCUUUUCUUGGGAUCAUUUAAGAUGGAUAAACCAUAUUUCAAGACUUUCUCUGAACGCCUAACUUUGAGCUUUCUCACAAGGCAAAGGUACUCCCAAGCACCUCCUCCUCCAUUAUCUACCUGGUUUUCAAGCCUGUUCAAUUGGGUCUCCUCUGUUUUGCUCACCAUCUCUCAAUGUAAACGUUUUUUUUCCCUUUUUUGGGGGGUAUUUUUUAGAUUUUUCUUUUAUCAAAUUUGCUCUGCCUUUGGUUUUUCUCUAGUCUAUCGCCACUGGCCUGUAGAUUGGAUCUCUAACUAUAGGGUGGGAUUUUAAUUAAGAAAAUAUUUGGUAGAACGCUAUUGGAAUUUUUAAAGAGUUACGGGUGAGUAAAUAUCCCAUAAAAAUAUUUUAAAAAAUAUAUGUCAAAAUUUUAAAAUUAUUUAUAAAAAAAUUAUUAAAAUAGUUACUUUUACUUUCCUUAAUUUACAUUUUAAUAACUUAUAUUAUCGCGGUGUAACAUUUUUAUUAUUGAACUGUUAAUUAUCGUAAAAGUUAUAAUGGUAAGCUACCAUGUCAUGAUAAAUAAUCAUUUCAAACAAAAAAAUUUAGGUUAAUUUAUACAGCUGGCCACUAUGUUUUUUUAUUUUAAGCAAUUUAAAUUUUUUUCUUAUAUGUUUUUUUAACUUUCUUUUUUUUCAUGCUUUUCUCUUUUUCCUCUAAUUUUGUCUCUUCCCUAUUUCUUUUUAACUUAGUUUUUCUUGUUAUUUGUUAAAAAAACUAGUUUAAAAAAAAUAAAGAAGGGAGGAAAAUAGAAGGAAACGUAGAAGAGAAUAAAAAAUUAAAUUAAAUUACUUAAAAUAUAAAAAAUGACAAAUUUUAGAAUUUAAUCUAAAGUUUUAUUUGAAAUGAUAAUUUAACGUGUCACGUUAACUUACUCUCAUACCGUUAUUUGUAAUUAAUGAUUUAGUAAUUUAAACGUAACAUUUUAAAUAUAAAUAAUUAAAAUAUAAGCUAACGCAAAUAAAAGUAAAUACUUACCCUUUAAAUAAUUAACCUUUUUCUUAAGCGCUUGCCUUCUUUGUUUUGUAGUUUUUUUUUUUUUUUGGUAUGAUAGUUAACACAAAUCACUUAUUUAUUUUUGCUCAUUCAAAUCAUUAAUGUAUUGAGUCUUAUUACUAUAAAUAAAUACCAUAGUUACUCACGUAUAUGAUUUCUUUUUUGUCUAAAUCCUUAAAUAAGGUAAAAAAUAAUCUUCUAGGAUUUGCUUCCAACUUUCACAAAUUGUGAAACAAAAGUUAAUCUUUUUAAAAUUAUUAAAAUAAAAUAGUUUAAUUACGCACGAUCUUAAUAUUAUAACAAUUGACGUCAUCUACGACAAAAAGCUAUAUUUUUACGCUUAAACGGUUAAGAUUACUAUAAACAAGAAAACCAAGGCUUUCCCAUUUAUUAACAUUGGAACAAGUCUCUAGUAAAUGGGUUACGAUAACCUGAUAGAGACUUGCCAUCUUUCUUAACUCGCACUCAUCCUCUCCCUUCCAACUCCCUUGUUUUGAUUAUAUUUAGCUUGAGUCAUUCGAAUUUUUAAGUAUUUUAAUGUUUGACUUUAAUAAUUUGUGUGUAUAAUAUUAUUUCUAAAAUAUAUUUAAUACAUAAUUAUUUUUUAAUAAAUAUUAAAAAUUUCAAUUUGAACAGCAUAAAUAAUAUAAGAAAUGAGAUAAAGCAAAGUCAAUAAUUAGAUAUUUAAUUCAAAUCAAAAUCUCACUUUAAAAGUGAAUCCAGUUAUACUUGAAGUUAAUUAGAUAUUUAAUUCAAAUCAAAAUCUCACUUUAAAAGUGGAUUCAGUUAUACUUGAAGUGAACUUCAAAUUUCAAGUCCUCUCCAAUAUCUAUAAAGCUCAAUUCAACUUGAUUAUUCUUAAAUCUUGGGUUAUAAGUACACUCGUUUAAGGAUCGGAUUAAAAAGAUUUUCAAGAAUCAUAUUAUUCGAUUAGUUUAAAGGUUCAUUUGAUAUUUGGUAGAAUUUCUUUUUGUGCCUUCAAUUUAACUUGAUACAGAAUUCACCAAUGUGAAUGUGAAUAUAUUAGUCAAUGAAAAUGAGAGAAAAUAAGAGAUAAAAUAUGUAUAAGAGCAAUAAAAAAAAACAUAAAACUUAUGAAACAAUCAGGAUUAUUUCUAACAAAACAUGAAAAAACAAUUAUAACACUACAAAAUAUGACAACAUUAAUAUAUAUAUAUAUAUAUAUAUAUAUAUAUAAACACAGCAUUAGUACAUAGAUGAUUACUAACUACAAAUCAGUGGGAGAAUUUUGGUUUAUUUGGGUAAUGCAGGCUUCAGCUCUCACUGAACAUUGAUGGAAAUCCAAAGCUUUAGUAACUCAUCAAUACAAACUAUCAGUCUUACAGUGGUUGCAGUUUCCUGGGAAAUCCAUUCACCAAAAACCAUAAAGUUUUUGUUUUUUAAACCUUGGUGUUGUUCUUUGGUGGUGUAUUGAUAUAUUUCCACGUGAAUUGCAUUAAAUUUUCAGGCAAAGUAGCCCCUGCAACUUCAUUGAUUGGGAUUAUUUCUGAAAUUUCUUUCAAAUCUUCUUCUGUCAGCUUUACUUUCAGUGAUUCAAUGUUGCUAUCAAGAUUUUUUUUUUUAUCUUGGUUGUUCCAGUAAGAAGUCAAAAGAAACUUUUAAAAGCUAUGAUCUUUUGGCUCAAGAUUUUUGAGGCCCUUUAUGCUGCUUCUGCUGUGAAUUCUAGUCAAAUAUAUCUGUAGGCUGCUAUAUUAUUUCGACUCUUCAUUUUCUUUAACAGUAUCCGCAUCCAGUACUUCACAUAUUUGGAUAUGGCGUACCUGUGUCCAACUCAUAUCUGGGCAUAAGUAUCCGGAUGUGAUCCUACAAGGAUCCUUGAUCCUUGAUAUACAUGAAACUUUGUCCAAUAGUCAUGCUUCAAUCCGAGUUACAUGAUACAACAAGGGAGUCCAGGUUGAAAAUGAUUGAAUGUGACUUACCAGGAAUAGGGGCAACAUCAUCCCCUUGAUGAAGAACCCAGGCAAGUGCAAAUUUGACGCUGUACAUACAUGCUUUUCAGCCAACUUCUUUACUUUCAAAUAUAAGAUCCUGUUUUUGUCCAAGUUUUCUCCUUGAAACCUUGGGAACAUUGCCUUAAAAAGUAGAUAUUUGUAAUCAGUCAAUGAAUCUAUCUAUUAAGACUUAAAAGGGUUAUUACUGUACAAGAUUAAAUUCAUAUGUACUAUUCAUUUUCCAAGUAUCUCUGUCUGACAUAUGUGUUUAACAUGUAUUUGGAUAUAGAUACAAGUAUGAUCCUUUGUAUAUAUAGAAAAACUUACCAAAAGCUUAGAAUCCUCGUGUCAGAUACACAAUAGUAUCUGACAGUGACUUCUGAGUCCAUGUGACAAGGGUUUAAAAGCCAAAAUAAGGAGAGUUUCAUACCAGAUAACUAUUUCCAGAGAAACCUUGACCAAGGGGACUGUAUGGAACAAUCCCAAUUCCAAGUCCCUUGCAUUGUUGAAUGCAUUUUACGUAGGCAUGAUCUCAUAGGAGUUGGAAAGAGUUAAUUGUUAAAAAGCUUGAGUAUCUUGAGCCUCAAGAAUACUCGAACAACAUUUAACUUGGGAAAUGAAAGACUAUCAAUAAUCGAUUUCAAUCUAUGAUAGCUAGACUUUUCAUUUUCUCUAAAGGAUCCGUAUUCAAUAUGUUUGAUAUAGACAAGAGGGUAGAGUAUGAUCAUUCCGGAAAAAAAAAACCCUAACAUUUUUGAAAAUAUUAACAUUGAACACAUAUAUGUAUUCAACACUAGUUCGAGUCUGGAUAAUGAUUCAAGAUAGAGGAAGAAACCUGCAAAGGGUAGUUCGAGUCUGGAUAAUGAUUCAAGAUAGAAGAAGAAACCUGCAAAGGGGAACUACUUCUUCCUCAAUGAGUCCAGAGGGCCCACUCCAUUUGUACGGCAGUAAUGGGAUGAACAGCGUGUGCCCUCCUUAUAGUUUCAGGGCUAGCUUCAGAUAUACCAAUAUACUUUAUUUUUCCCUCUUCCACGAACUUCUUACAGUUCUUCCAUCUUACAUACAUAAAAUAAAUAUAAAUAUACUUAAUUUUUCCAUAAAAUAAAUAGUAUUUGACAUCUGAGCCUAACAUAUAUUUGGACAUACAGGUAUCCAAUGGUCACCCUUAUGUCCAGGUUCUACCUAAUAUGGGUAUGUCCCCAAGAAGAGAAUGUUUAGAGGUCCAUAUUUAUGCCGAACACAUACAUGUGUUGGACACUCAUCCUUGAGUCCAAAUAACAUGAGUUUUAAAAUGGUUUCCAACUAGGCAUGCACACUCAAGAUGGAUAGUAUGUACCCGAUAAGCAAUGUUUUCGGAACUGGACCGGUGGUAGAACCGGUCAGACUGCCAGUUCCCGGUCCAUCCGAUUCAAAUCAAAUAAAUUAUUUAAAAAAUAAAAAAAAAUUAAAUAUAUAUAAUUGUAAAAUCUGGUUCAACUGCUUCAACCAGUCUGUACUAGUUUGAGGAUCAACCAGCUUUUUUGCCUUGUUGCAGACCAGUGUAUCAGCUGGUUCCCGGUCCAACCAGCCGGUCUGGUCAGGUUCUGAAAACACAGCCGAUAAGGAAAUGUUUGGAUGAUUAACCUUUAUAUCCAUUUUCGAAUAUGCCUCAUACACAAAUAUUUUAAAAAAACUGAAAACCAAUAACAAAGGGUUUCUAAUGCAGCAAUACUUACAGUCUCCUCUGUAGGGGUCUUGGUGUCAACUCUGAUUAUAUAGUAAAGAUCAAUGUAAUCCACGUCAAGGCGUUUAAGGCUACUCUCAAGAGAAGCACAAACGUAUUCAGGAGUGCCACUGACAACAAGACCACCUGGACCAAUGCUUUCAGCGCCAAAUUUUGUAGCCAACUGUACCUUCUCUCACGGUAACUGCUUCAAUGCCUGCAAAAUAUUAAAAUAAAUUAGUUUUGUGUCCAUACAAGUCAGUUGUAUUGAAGAAAGUGAUUCCUUUUUCAAAUGCGUGCUUAAUGAUUAUUAUGCCAACAUCAUCUGAGACCGGAUCGUGAAAGAUCCAGAAUGACCCGUACACCCAAACCCUAACUUUGAAACCUGCAAACAAAAACAAGGGAUUUUACAACAAAAAAUGCAUUUUCUUAGCUAAUAUAAUUAAUAAUAACGAAACCUAAAACCUCAAGUCCUUGAGUUCCAAGUUUCACUCGAGGAAUCUGAACUCUCUGCUGUUCAUCAACCAUCGUUUGUUUCCUUUUUCUUCUCAAUGGAGGCCUUUCUGAUUAUAUAGCAACUCAAAAAAUAUCGUAAAAAAGAAGGAACUAUAAAAUAAUUCUGAAUAUGUCACCCCAUAGGUAAUUGAUUUUGACUACUUUGUUGCAGACAUUCAAAAUUAAGCUAAUGGAAGAACUAUUAAAUAAGAUAUUGAAAAAAGAGGCAAAAAAUUGGUCAAAAGAGCUAAAUAAUCACGACAUGUGUUAUCAGAUAAACAUUCAAAGAAUUAUUAAAUCAUUUCUUUUUUAAUUUACACCCUAUCUCAUAGGACCAAAACCAGUUUCUACAGCACACGUUAAUAUCUUGAGUUUAUAGCACUGUAGGGCCACAGAGCCUAUGAACCAAAGCAGGAUUCACAAGGAACAGAGUGAAGCAUUUGUUGCCUAUGAUGAGUAAGUGGUCACAUUGCCUACGCAAUAGUAGAUAAAAUGAACCUACUACAGCCCCAAAACACAGUACUAAUGGAAAUGGAAAAGCAGGUCUACCAACAAAUCUUAGGCAUGAUGCUAACAGAUUCAUUUUGAAAAUGCCCUGUUAUGUUAUAUGCUAUUGGGUUCAUAUGGCUACUUUUAAGUUCAAUGUUUCAUCGCUUCUAUUUCAGUUAUACAAUGUUUGACGACUAAUGAAAACAGAAAGACAAGCACUACCAAAUAAUCUUAGGCAUGAUGCUAAUGGACUCACUCUGAAAAUGUUAUGUUAUAUGCUAUUUGGUUCAUAUGGCUGCCUUCUGAGUUCAACGUUUCAUUACUUCUGUUUCAGUUCUAGAAUCUCAAUGACUAAUGGAAAAGCUGGCCAAACAAAGAAAUCUCAAGCAUGAUGCUAACAGAUUCACUUUAAAAUGUAUUGUUAUAUGCUAUACGGUUCAUGUAGCUGCUUUCAAGUUCACUCUUUCAUUUCUUCUAUUUCAGUUCUACAAUGCUCAAUGGCUAAUGGAAAGGCAGGCACUACCAAUAAAUCUCAGGCUUGAUGCUAACAGAUUCACUUUGAAAAUGUCUUGUUAUAAUGCUAAUGGCUUCAUAUGGAUGCUUUCAAGUUCAAUGCUUCAUUGCUUCUAUUUCAGCUCUACAAUGUUCGAUGACUAAUGGAAACCAAAAAGGCAGGCACUACAAAAUAAUCUUAGGCACGAUGUUAAGGAUUUAAUCUGAACAUGUCGUUUAUAAGCUAAUUGGUUCACAUGGCUGGUUUCAAGUUCAAUGUUUCUUUCCUUCUAUUCCAGCUCUACAAUGUUCAAUGACUAAUGGAAAGGCAGACAAUACCAAGAAAGCUAAGGCAUGAUGCUCAAGCGAAAAUGUCUUGCUAUAUGCUGAUGAGUUAAGAUGGCUGCUUUCAAGUUCAAUGCUUCAUUCCUUACACUUCGAUGCUCGAUGACAAAGGAAACAGGAAACACAAGUAUAACCAGCAAAUCUUUCAUGAUUAGGUGUGCUCGGGUGCAGCCAGAAGGAGCAAAACCCCUUAACAGCUGCACCAGGCAAGGCUAUUUCAAAGAUGCGAAAAUUCCAAAAAACAAAGCAGGCCAUUACAAAAACCAUGCAAGCAUUGGACGGUUCAGGACAUUUCCAAAUCCCAAUUAUUCCACAAUUUACAAUUAGUCUAAUACAAGAUCAAAAUCAAUAUUUUAGCAACAAAUUAUCCCACAAAUGAUCUAAAGAACAACUUAAAUAAACCCAUAAAUCAAUCCAACCAAACUUCAAAAAUAACCAAAAGAACAGGGAAACUAGAUAGACCAUUGCAAGUAUAGAAGCACAACAUAAUCAUUGACCAAUUCGUCAAUUUUAUUUCCAAAAUCCUCAAUUAUUCCACAAUGUUCAGUUACUCUACAGUACACAGCAGCAAAAUCCGAAACAUUUGCAUUAAUCCCCGCCCCCAAAACCCAGAAUCAAAAUCCCCUCAAAUAUGAAAUAACAACAAUGCAACUUCCACCUCACCUUUGCCUUCUUCAAUCACUUAGUCAUAACUUCCACACCUGUCUUCCCAGCAAUAAUAACAGAGGUAGCCAUCCCUAAAAACAACCCAUGUUCCACUACACCUUCCAUGGCAGAAAUCUCUUUCCCAGCUGCAAACCCAUCUUUUAUUGGAUUCUUGAAAUACAAAUCCACCAUGUAGUUCAUAUUAUCAGUCACGUAAGGCUUUUCACUACCAUCCCCUGCUAAUCUCAACUUUGCUUCACAACCCAACUCUUUGAACAAUCCUUCAAGUCUAACCAAGUUAUAUUUCCAACAAAACUGCACAACUUCAACAGGCAUGGCUAAACCACUCCCUCCAAGCCCUGAAACAAGCUUGCUAUCAUCAGCCACUACAAUGAAAGAAGAUGAAGCUGCUUCAACCAUUUUCUCUCGCAAAAGUGCACCCCCACGGCCUUUAACUAAGUCGAGGUUAGGGUCAACUUCAUCAGCACCAUCAAUGGCGAGAUCAAUAUGGGGAUGCAAGUCAAGGGUGGAUAAAGGGAUAUUAAGUGAUGCAGCUUGCUCUUGGGUUCUUUUUGAGGUUGGGAUUCCGACGAUGUUAGAAAGUUGACCGGUGGAAAGGAGUUGACCCAGUUUGUCAACCACAAAGGCAGCUGUUGAGCCUGUUCCUAGGCCUAGGACCAUACCUGACUUGACUGACUCAACCGCUUUGUCAGCUGCAAGCUUUUUGAGCUCAUCUUGGGAAAGGACUGGGGCAGAUUGGGACCUGAUGGAGAAUGAUUUCUGGGUUCGAGCCCGGUGGUUAAGAGGAGUGGCGCGUGGGGUAAAACGGGUGGCGGAGGAGAGGUGGAGGAAGGAUAAGGAGGCCAUUGGCUUUUGUUUCGGGGGCUUGUUUUGGCCUUUUCUUCAUUCUGAUUUUAUCUAUGCUGUUCGUGCUGUUUGUGUUAGGUGAACUUUGGGCUAAAGGUAGAAGGUUAGGAAAAGGACUAUUAAAAAAAGAAAAAAGAAAAAAAGAUAGAUAUCAAAAUUAUACCUCAAAUUUGAUUUUAUGUACAAUUUAAUAUAUAAAAUUUUAUUUUGUGCAAUUAUACCCAUAAAACUUUAAAUUUGGUUCAAAUAUUUACAUAAAAUUUUGAUUUUGAUUUAUUUGUGGACAUUUAAAGAAGUAAAUACUUUUAUGUUGCUUAACUGUAAUUAUUUGUGUAUGCAACAUGUAAACUUAAAAGGGUAUUAUAUCAAUAAUGGUACUAUUAGUUUAUAAAAAUUGAAUUUAAUCAAAAUGUCAAAUAUAAAUUUAAUAAAAUUUAAAUUUAUGUAUGACAUUGUAAAUUAAACUAAAAUUGAUUUAUAAUUUUAAGAUUUAUCUUUUUUAAAUAAAAAGAUUUUAAAGGUGUCAUUGUAAAUUAUUGGGAUUUGAUUUUUUUAAAGAAAUAACAAAUUUAUUAAGUAAUUGUAAAGUUGGAGCAAUUUAAGCUUUCAUGUAGGUCGAAUUUAAAUAUUUUAAAACUUGGUUUCGAGUAAUUAAAAAUUUUACUUCUCUUUGUUAUUUUUAAUAAAUAUCGAAAAUUUAAUUCGAAUUUAACCUCAAUCUUAAGUAUAAAUCAUUCAAAUUAAAGCUAAAAACAGAAGUCAAAUUUAUUUUUUAUUACCUGAUUAAAUAUUUGUGCCUUCAGUUUAACUUAAUACAGAAUUCACCCAUAUAAAUGGGAUUAUAUUAUUAUGAGAGAACAGUAUAACAAUAGAAAGGUAUACUUAUCAAACAACAGGUAAAACCUUAUUCGUCCAAGUAAAGCUAAGUAGAAACUUGGACUUGAUUAUUUCGAACACGAUACAAAACAUGACACAAUAACAUUAGAAUAAAGACAUAAACCACAGUAAUACAUGAAUUGGGAGAUUACUAGCUACAAACCACAGGCAAGAGUUUGUUUUAUUUGGGAAAUACAGGCUUCACCUCUCACUGAACCCUCCAUUAAUGGCAAUCCAAAGCUUUUGUACUGCAUCGAUACGAGCUUCCACUCUUUCAGUGGUUGCAGUUUCCUCUGUUCACCAGCACGCAUAAAACUCUGUUUUUAAACCUAGGUGCUCUUCUUUGGUGGUGUAUUGCCGUAUUUCCAAGUGAAUUGCUUUAAAGAAUCAGGAUAAUUACUCCCUGCAACCUCAUGGAUUGGGAUCGCAUCUAUAAUUUCUUUCAAAUCUUCUUUUGUCAACUUUACUUUCACUGAUUCAAUGUUGCUAUCUAGAUUUUCUAUCUUGGUUGUUCCUGUAAGAAGUGAAAACAAAGUGUCAAAAACUUUGGUCUUAAAUCUUAAUGGAAACUAUAUAAAAAUUGGCAUUUUGGUACAGGAAUUUUCAGGCCAUUCUUAUGAUACUCGAACUUGUAUCGGAGUGUCCAACACAGAUAUGUUCAUUUUCCUAUAGUUUUUACAUAUAUUUGGAGAAUUUUUAGAAGGUCGUAUGCCCCAUAUCAUGUCCGAAAAUAUGCUGGACAUAGGUAUUGGACACAGGCACUUAUAGAAAAAAUGGAGAGUACAAACAACAUAGACUUAUGCUAUUUCUGCAGGUUACUAUAUUACUCCGACUCUUUUCUUUUCUUUUUCAAGUAUCUGAGUCCAAUAUUCCGCAUAUUUUGACAUGAGUGUUUAAUUUAACCCUCCAAAUAUAUCAAAAAAACUUUAAAAAGACACUCAUAGUGGAUCACCUCAGAAUCCAAGUUGAAAGUGAUUGAAUGUGACCUACCAGGAAUAGGGGCAACAUCAUCCCCUUGAUGAAGAACCCAGGCAAGUGCAAGUUGUGCAGCUGUACAUCCAUGCUUUUCAGCCAACUUCUCUACUUUCGAAUAUAGGAUCCUAUUUUUCUCCAAGUUUUCUCCACUAAACCUUGGGAACAUUCUCUUCAAAAGUAAAUGUUUGUAAUCAGUCAAUCUGUUUUUCACAACUUAGAAGCAUGUUACUGUAAAUAUUAAGGUCCUAUGUUAUCUGAACUCUUCAUUUUCUUUAAAUAUUCAUAUCCAACAUGUUUCUGACAUCUAUUCGGAUAUAAAUGCAAGGGUAACAUCCUUCUAAUAAAUGAAAACGAAACCUAGAUAAAAAUUAAAUAUACUCAUGUCGAACACAUAUCCAUUAUCCAACACUUACUCUUGAGUCCGUAUAACAUAGGUUAAGUACAGAUUAAAGCCAAAUAAUGUGAGUCUCCAUACCAGAGGCGUAUUAGAGGUAUCUUUAUUCGCUCUACCGGCAAAGAAACCACGACCAAGUGGACUAUAUGGAACAAUCCCGAUUCCAAGUUCCCUGCAUUGUUGAACACAUUGAAGUAGGUAUAAUCUCACAGCAGUUGAAAGAGUUAAAACUGUUGAUGGCAUGAGUUUAUUGAGUCUCAAGAGUACUCAAAAAAACAUUUUAACUUCCCAAAUGAAGAAGACUAUCAAUAAUCAAAUUUCAAUCUAUAUGAACAAAAGGGUAUUUUUAUAACCCCCCAAAUAUAUAAAAUUUUGAAUAUAUCUAUACUUGAUACUCAUUCAAAUCCAAAUAACAUUUAAGUGACUUAAGAAAAAAAGUUAUGAUGAUUCAAGAUAGAAGAAUAAACCUGCAAAGGGGAAUUAUUUCUUCCUCAACAUCACGAGUCCAGAGCGACCACUCAAGUUGUACUGCAGUAAGAGGAUGAACAGCGUGUGCCCUCCUUAUAGUUUCGGGGCUAGCUUCAGAUAUACCAAUGUACUUUAUUUUUCCCUCUUCCACCAACUUCUUCAGUUCUUCCAUCUAUCAUACAUGAAAUAAAUAUAAAUUAUGCUUAAUUUUCCCAUAAACAAAAUACAGGGUUUUUAAUGCAGCAAUGCUUACGGUAUCUUCUAUAGGAGUCUUGUGGUCAACUCUGAUUAUAUAGUAAAGAUCAAUAUAAUCCACAUCAAGGCGUUGAAGGCUAGCCUCAAGUGAAGAACGAACAAAUUCAGGAGUGCCAUUGAUAACCGGACCACCUGGACCCAUGCUUUCAACACCGAAUUUUGUAGCCAACUGUACCUUCUCUCGUGGCAAAUGCUUCAAUGCCUGCAAAAAAGGUUUCCCAGAUUCCUUCAAAUCAUAUCGAUUUCAUAAACUAAAAAAAGCCAUCUCUCGCGCAUAUCUUCGAACAUGUAAUUGACACAAAAGUGUGGGACAUUGUGAGAGUGAAAGGAUCCCUCACAGUUCAAUGUAAUUCAACUUGAAGAGUUGAUCAAACAAAGGAUGUUACCUUUCCAACCAGAAUUUCGUUAGUUUUGGGUCCAUACAUGUCGGCUGUAUCGAAAUGAGUGAUUCCUCUUUCGAAUGCGUGCUUAAUGAUGGCUAUGCCAGCUUCAUCUGACACUGAAUUAUUGUGACCUGAAAGACCCAUACACCCAAAUCCCAGCUUUGAAACCUGUAAGCAAAAAACAAUGGAUUUUAGUUUUACCCCCGAAGAAAAAGCAUUUUCUUAACUAAUAAUAUAACUAGAAAGAAACACAAUCUCAAACCUCAAAUCCUUGAGUUCCAAGUUUCACUCUAGGAAUCUGAAUUGCCAUUUUUUGUUCCCUUUUUUUUUUUCUUCUUCUUCUUCUUCUUGGUGUUCUACAAACAAAGGCUUCUCUGAUUACCGAACAGCUCAAAACAUACCGUUAAAUAGAAGAUCUUGAGGCCUUUACCCAGAACCUUGUUCUUAGCUUUGUCAACAUUUGCUUACAUCAUUAUGGUGUCAGCCCGUAUGUAAUCGUUUUAGUCUACUAGAGAAAAAAACUAAUAAAUAAUCAUCAUCACAAAGAGGCAAAGCAUUUUUUCUUUAUCCAAAAAAAAAGGCAAAGAAUUGGUCAAAAGAUAUAUACAAUAAGUAAAUCAUGUCAUGUGUGUUAAUCAAUAAUCAGAUAAACAUCCUGAGAAAGGGGCCGUAAUACCUCCUUUCAUUCAUUUUUUUUCAAAGGUUCUUGUCUUUUUCUAGAAAGUCAAUGUUUUUACUGAAACAUUCAUAUUGCUGGUAAAAUUCUGCUAUUAGUAUAUCUAUUUUGCAAAUGUUGUUUAAUUUAAUCAAUUUUAAUUUUUAUAUUUUCCAGAUUGAUCAAUUUUAGUUUUUAUAUUUUUUGAGUUUUGAAAUUUUAGUCAUGACUCAGUUAAAUUUAUUUGGUUAAAUUUAAUUAUUAGACGUAGAAAUAUCAAGUUGACAUGACAUCACAUAUAUGACAAUAUGUUUAUAGUAUCAAAUUUUAGAAAUAGUAAAAUCUAACUUAAUGAAUUUAACGGUUAUAGUUUGGUGAGGACAAAAACAUUAAAAUUUAAAAGGUACAAGGUCUAAAAAUACCAAAUUAAAAUAGAAUUAAACCCAUAACUUUGUAAAAUAUAGGGACUAAUAGCUGAAUUUAACCUAUAUUGCUAUAACUUCAUUUUAUUUUAUAAAGCAACCAUUUUUCCUUUUUUGUCAACUUUUUUCACAUGUUUAUAUCGGUAUAUUAAAAAAAAAAGUUCAAAUAUCUAGAGAAUUUUAGAAUAUCAAUUUUUUGAAUAUAUAUAAAAUACAAAUGUUUCAAAAAUUAAUAAAUACUCAAAGCUGUGAAUAAAGAACAUAAGACGAAAUAAGUUGUUCGGAUUUUUUAAAUUAAAUGUAAAAUUAUUGCUUAAAUUAUAUUUUUAUUUUUAUUUUUUACUUUUAACUAUUUAAAAUGUUUUUUUGUCAAAGUUGAUAUUUAAAUUAUUAAUAUUGUCUUAUUUAUUUUUAAAUAUGAUAUUAGUCAAUAAAAACAAAACAUGUGAUACAUUUUUAUUAUAUGUCUCAUACUUUUUGCGAUAAAAUGAAACUAAAUUCAUAAUUUUUAUAUAUUUUUUUUAUAAAAAUCAAUAAAUAUUUAAGUGAGAAAUGGAUAUAAUUUAAAGUCAAAUUUUAUAGUUAAUUUUUCUUGCUUUUUUUUGAAGUAUUAAUUUAAUCUAAGGAUUUUUAAGUCUUCGUUAACUAUAUUUUUGUGCUAGGUAAGUUGGGAGAAACUACUAAGAACAAAUUUAUUGGGUUGAUUAGGGCAUUAAGUAUAUUUUUAUCUUAGUCGCAAAUUAAUUUAUAACGACACUAUUAAAAUUGAUCAUAAUCCAUUUAGUCUAAAUUUAAAUUUUGUUGGCUAGACAAGUAAAUCAUAUAAGCACAUAACUGAAUAAAUAAUUAAAAAAAUUGAAACAAUCAACGAGAAAAUAUGAUCCAUCAUUGUUUCAAGACAAUAAAGUUUAUUUCGUGUUGAAUUGAGCAAAUCACACAAAAAAAAAAUUAAAACAAAUUUGUAUAAAUACAACGUAAUAAAAAAUAAUAUAGAGAGAAAAAUAGUUAUAGAAUUUAUGCCAGAGUACUCCGAAUCUCUUUUUCUUUUAUCUUUGCAAUCUUGAAGUUUCUCUUGGUGUAGAGAGAGUUAUUUCUUAGCCUCUAAGUGAUUUCUUUUUAUUUUCCUUCUUUUUUUCCCUUAAAUCUCAUCACCACCGACCGCUUGCUAUCAAAUUAGUUGACAAACUUUUAAACAAAAUUAGUUGAGUCAGGACUUGAACAAUUUUGUAGACAUGUGUUGACUCAUAUUUAAAUAUCUAUACUGUAGAGUCUUUGAAGAUUAAAUCAUUCUAAGUAAACCCUCCAAUUAAAUGCAUCUUCUGGGUUUGUAUGUAAGGUUGAAGGUGGCUUCGAUGAAGGGAUCACGUCAGUUCUACGAUUCCGGUCCCGAGGCGUCAAUCCAAGCCUCCAAUCCAAAUUUAUCAAAACAAAAACCGAAUAAAAUGAGUUCUUAAAGAAAAUAAAGGGUUUAAAGUUUUUUUGGUCGAAAGAAAAGAUUUCCUUCCAAUUUUUUUCGGCCACUGUCAAGGUUACUCGGCCGUCAGAACUCGAAAAUUUUGGGAUCUCCGGCAGUGGAGCCGGCCGAUAGCAAUCAACAGGGGCAGCCGCAUCUUUAGAGAAAAAAUAAGGUGUUUUGGUUUUCGGCAGAAAUAAUGAUUAGUAUAUAUAUUGAGCCUUUUGGUUGGUAUAUUUGUUAAUAAGUCCUUCCGUUCUGUUUUUUAUUUUUAGGAUUUCCGCAUUUUAAAACGACAAUUUUGGUCCUUGUGAUUUUUGCUUCGUUUUUCAAUAUUGCAAUUUUCGGCUGGAAAAAUUACCGGAUUAGUCCACUGACUUUAUAUAUAUUAAAAAAUAUUUUAUGAAUUAUGAUUAUUUUUGGUAUAUGUUAUGUUUCUUCGUUUUACUUGAAUUUUGAGAUUUCUUUUAGGUUAUGUUAGAUUAUAUUUAGAAUUCUUUGACCUAGAUCUUGAGAUUCAAAUAAUAUACCUUUUAAAAAAAAUAAAUCUUAGGAUUUAAAUAGGUUAAAGUUUUAUUUUUCUAAUUUAGAUGUUCAAAGAGGUUAGAAGUUUGUUUUUCUAAUUUAAAUCUUAGGAUUAAUUUAGAUCUUAGGAUUUAAAUAGGUUAGAAUCUAAUUUAGAUAUUAGCAGGGGUGAAGUCAAAAAAAAUUUUUAGGAGGUCAAAAUUAAAUUGUAAUUUUUACGAUAGUAAAAAUGUAAUUUCACCAUUUUAAUAGUCUAUAUAUUUAUAAUUGUUAAAUGAUUAAAUCAAAUUUUUAUUAUUUUAGGAAGUCAAAGUGUAAUUUUACCUUUUCUAAUUUAAAAUACUAAAAAUUAUAAAUGACCUAAAUAGAAAAUUUUUCAUUUUUCGAGCCUGGGGCUCUCCCAGCCCCUAGAUGUUAGGAUUCAAUUUAUAUUUCUAAUUUAAAUCUUAACAUUCAAAUAGGUUAGAUUUCUCUUUCUUUACUUAGAUCCUAUGCUAUAGAGGUUAGAAUUUUAAUUUUCUGUCAAUUCUUAUAGGUUAGAAUUUAAACUUCCAUCAAUUAGAUUUUAAAGUUUUAUUAUAUUAGAAUUAAAAUUGAUUAGCUCGGAUAUUCUGAUUUUUUUAAUAAUAUUAAAUUUUGAGCAGUUUAAAUUUCGAUUUAGGAUUAUAGGAGUCAAUUUUGAAAUUUUUGAACUAGAAAUCUUUAGCACCAAAUUUUAUAGGAUUAUCUUUAGAUAGGCGUUGUAAGAAUGCUAUAAUCUUUCUUACAUUUAAUUAUACUCUCGAACUUCAAUUUUGGUGCGAGUCUGAAUCUAAUUUUUUAAGAUUUUUCCUCAAGAAUAGUUCUAAAGUCGUAGGCAAUAGGCAAUUAACUGACCUAAUUUAAAUUGGUUAAUGACGAUCCUAUUGCACGUUGGGCCAAAAUUCAUGUAUAAUUUAUAAAUACACUACUUAUCCUUAAAUUUUAUUUAAAAUGAUUUUUUGUUUGAUUUAUAUUAUGUUAUCUAUUUAAAUUUUUGCAGAUUUGAAUAUUUGACGAGUAAUAAUACUUAAUUCAAAUAUGAAUAGUUAUACUCAGAUAAUUUAUAAAUUUAAAUUUUUAAGUAAAUUUACGGAUUUAAAUAAUAGACAGAAGUUUAAGCCAAUAAAGGUUAGUGAGAGUAUACCACAUGUAAGUCCUUAAACUACACAAGAGGUGCUCAACCAUAUAUUAUAUAUUUGCAUCAUUUCGACAACUUCCCAAACCAACUAAACUCUCUAAUAAACUUAUCUUAAAAAACUCAAACCCCAAAUUUGAAUUCGUCAUUGUUCUCUUUUUGAAAUUUAGGGUCUCAACUUUCUAAUUGUUUUUAUAUUGUUUUUAUAUUGCGAUUUGAACUAUUUUCCUAAUCAAAUUAAUCUUUAAAUUAGUAAUUACACUUACAUUUAAGUCUGAAUUUUUUUUCUAAGUUAAUAUUUGAAUUUAAUUGUUCUUAAAUUAAGAUAUGAUUUUUUUAAAACAAAUAUGAAGGACUAACUUUGAUAGAAAAAAUUUAAAUUUCAAGAAUAAUUUUCAAAUUCAAGGAUUUACUUAGAAAAAGAAUUUAUUUGCUUGUAUUAUAAAACUUUCACUUUAUGAGAGAAGAUAAGGUUACAAAACCAAAUUAAAUAUUAACAAUUGAGCUUUGAAAGAAAUAAUCUGUGAGUAAAAUAGUUUUUAAUUGAUUGAGGAUAGAGUGAUGUAAUUCAGUUGAGUCUUUUCAAAGUUAAAAUUGGAAGUAAAUGAUUGAGUAGAAUUUAUAAAUGUACUUUUUUUGAAGUUCUUGAGAAAAGUUAAAUGAUAUUUUCAUUAAAAAUUAAAAGUAAAUAUUUUAACUAAUGCAUGACAAUGACUUUAUUGUGCUAUAAGUAAGUUGUUUAAGUACUAUGUUAGUCAAUUCAAAUGAGAGAACAGAGAGAUCAAGAACUAUAUUAGAACAAUAAAAACAUACAUUGAUUAAACAAUAGCUACAACUCUAUUCGUCCAAGUAAACACUUACACUUAAUUAUUUCAAACAACUAAAAAGAACACGAUACAAAAUAUGACACAACAACAUCAUAAAUACUGAACCCUCCAUUAAUGACAAUCCAAACUUUAGUAACUCAUCAAUCUUUCAAUGGCUGCAGUUUCUUGGGAAAUCCAUUCAUCCCAACACCCAUGAAGCUUUGCUUCUAAACCUAGGUCCUCUUGUUUGGUGGUGUAUUGCCAUAUUUCCAAGUGAAUUGCUUUAAACCUUCAGGAUAAGUACCCCCUGCAACCUCAUGGAUUGGGAUCGCAUCUGUAAUUUCUUUCAAAUCUUCUUUUGUCAGCUUUACUUUCACUGAUUCAAUGUUGCUGUCUAGAUUUUUAAUCUUGGUUGUUCCUGUAAGAAGUGAAAACAAUGUGUCAAAAGCUUUGGUUAUAUAUAUAAAUUGGCCUUUGGUACAGGAUUUUUCAGGCCAUUCUUAGUUACUGGAACUUGUAUCAGAGUGUCCAACACAGAUAUGUUCAUUUUCCUAAGGUUUUACAUAUAUCUGGAGGAAUAUGCUAGAAAAUUCUAUGCUAUUUCUGCAGGUUACUAACUUACUCCGACUGUUUUUUCUUCAAGUAUCCGUGUCUAAUACCCAACAUAUUUUGACAUGAGUAUUGAAUACAAUUCUCCAAAUAUAUGAAAAUUUUCAAAAAAAUAUAAGAGUUCACUUAUAUUGGAUCACCUCGGAAUUCAAGUUGAAAGUGAUUGAAUGGGACUUACCGGGAAUAGGAGAAACAUCAUCCCCUUGAUGAAGAACCCAGGCAAGUGCAAGUUGUGCCGGUGUACAUCCAUGCUUUCCAGCCAACUUCUCUACUUUCGAAUAUAGGAUCCUAUUUUGCUCCAAGUUUUCUCCUUGAAACCUUGGGAACACUCCCUUAAAAAAUAAAUGUUUGUAAUGAGUCAACCGAUCUGUUUUUUUUACAACUUAGAAGCAUGUUACUAUGUUAUCCGAAUUCUUUAUUUUCUUUAAUUACUCAUAUCCAACAUGUCUCUGACACAUAAUUGGAUAUAAGUAUGAGAGUAACAUCCUUCAAAUAAAUGAAAAUGAAACUUAAAAAAUGUUUUUUUUACAACUUAGAAGCAUGUUACUAUGUUAUCCGAAUUCUUUAUUUUCUUUAAUUACUCAUAUCCAACAUGUCUCUGACACAUAAUUGGAUAUAAGUAUGAGAGUAACAUCCUUCAAAUAAAUGAAAAUGAAACUUAAAAAAAACUGAAUAUAUUCAUGUCGCACACAUAUCUGUAUCCAACACUUACUCCUGAACCCAUAUAACAUAGAUUAAGUAUAGGUUAAAGCUAUAUAAAGUGAGUUUCCAUACCAGAGAACUAUUAGAGGUAUCCUCCUUCGCUUUACCGGCAAAGAAACCAUGACCAAGGGGACUAUAUGCAACAAUCCCAAUUCCGAGUUCCCUGCAUUGUUGAACACAUUUAGGCAGACAUAACCUCAGAGCAGUUGAAGGACUUAAAACAGUUGAUAACUUGAGAAAAGACAAUCAAUAAGUGAAUUUCAAUCUAUUUGAGCAAAAGGGUAUAUUUAUAUCCCUCCAAAUAUAUAAAAAAUUGAAUAUACCUAUAUUCGAAAAAAAAAAUUACGAUGAUUGAAGAUAGAAGAAUAAACCUGCAAAGGGGAAUUAGUUCUUCCUCAACAUCACGAGUCCAGAGCGACCACUCAAGUUGUACAGCAGUAAGAGGAUGAACAGCGUGUGCCCUCCUUAUAGUUUCGGGGCUAGCUUCAGAUAUGCCAAUGUACUUUAUUUUUCCCUCUUCCACCAACUUCUUCAGUUCUUCCAUCUAUCAUACAUGAAAUAAAUAUAAAUUAUGCUUAAUUUUCCCAUAAACAAAACAAAAUUGUAUUUGUGUUAAAGAAAGACAAAAUAGGGUUUUUAAUGCAGCAAUGCUUACGGUAUCUUCUAUAGGAGUCUUGCGGUCAACUCUGAUUAUAUAGUAAAGAUCAAUAUAAUCCACAUCAAGGCGUUGAAGGCUAGCCUCAAGUGAAGAACGAACAAAUUCAGGAGUGCCAUUGAUAACCGGACCAUCUGGACCCAUGCUUUCAACACCGAAUUUUGUAGCCAACUGUACCUUCUCUCGUGGCAGAUGCUUCAAUGCCUGCAAAAAAAGAAAUGAUGUUGAUUUCCCAGAUUCCUUUAACGAGCCAAGAACCAGAAUGAAAACAUUAAAUCAUAUCGAUUUGAUAAACUAAAAAAUUCCAUCUCUCACGCAUAUCUUCGAAUAUGUAAUAGACACAAGAGUGUGGGAAAUUGAGAACAUGAAAGAAUCGCUCUCAGUUUCAAUGUGAUUAAGCUUGAAGAGAUGACGAAAGGAUGUUACCUUUCCGACCAGAAUUUCGUUAGUUUUGGGUCCAUAGAAGUCGGCUGUAUCGAUGUGAGUGACUCCUCUUUCGACUGCAUGCUUAAUGAUGGCUAUGCCAUCUUCAGCUGACACUGAAUGAUCGUGACCUGUAAGACUCAUACACCCAAAUCCCAGCUUUGAAACCUGCAGCAACCAAAAAAUAAUAGAUUUUACCCCCCAAAAGAAAACGCCAUUUUCUUAACUAAUAUAAACUAGUAGGAAACAAAAUCUCAAACCUCAAAUCCUUGAGUUCCAAGUUUCACUCUAGGAAUCUCAAUUGCCAUCUUUUGUUUCCUUUUUCUUCUUCUUCUUCUUUGUGUGCUAUAAACAAAGGCUUCUCUGAUUACUGAACCUCUCAAAACUUACAUUAAAUAGAAAAUUUUGAGGUCUUUAUCCAGUAUCUUAUCUUGUUCUCAGCUUUGUUAACAUUCUUACGUCAUUAAGUAUGUCAUCCCAUAUGCCUCAAUUGAAUGAGUGGAUAAAGCUCUUUUUCAGACACGUUUGACACUGUUUAAAUUGGUUAAAUAUAUCAUUUGGUACCUAAGUUUGAUCUUUUUUCUAAUUUGAUAUUUGUGUUAUUUUAAGGUAAAUGACAAAAAUGGUCACUAAAUUGGGGUGAAAUUUCCUUUUUUGCCUCUAAACUAUGAAAAGUUACAUUUUUAUCACUAAAGUUAUUUACUUAUAACAUUUUUAUCACUCGUCUGUUAAUAGAAAAGUGAGGUGUGGUACAUUAAUUUAAGGAUUAAUAUCUAAUUUGAUCAUUAAACUAUAGUUAAGAUAUAAUUUGAUAUUUUUAUAACAUUUUUAAUAAGAAAAAAAUAAAAAAAUCCUAAAAAUUUAUUAUUUAUUUUUUGAAAUUAUGAAAAUAUUUUUAAAAAUUGUAAUUAUGUAAAAAAAUUAUAAAAAUUUUAUAACAAGCAAAACACGUAUUUUACAAAUUAAAAGAAAAAUACGUUUUUAUUGGUAUAGCAUAAAACCAUUUUGCAUAAUAUCUUGGAUAUAAUUAAAUCUGAUCAACUCGUCUGCUACUGUAGCUUUCAGUGCUGAAAAGCAAGCCAAGCCUUUUCCUUUGAGCAGCUACAGGGAAACCGACAAUGAUUGAACUAUUAGACCCAAGCUGCGUUACAGCCGCGCAGCUCUACGUAAAGUCAUGGUCACGUAGUGCAAAUACGUAUUUUGUUUAUUAUAUAAUUUAUAUUUUUUUUGUUUUAUUUUUUACAUGAUUAUAAUUUUAAAAAAUAUAAUUUCAAAUAAAUGAUGAAUUUUCAAAAUAAUUUAAGAUUUUUUUAUAUUUUUAGAAUUUUUAUUUUUUUGAAAUUAUUGUUAAAAAUGUUAUAAAAGUACUAAAUUGAAUGUUUAAGCUAUAAUUUAGGGAUCAAAUUGGAUAUUAAUCCUUGAAUUAGAGGCCAAAAUAUUAUAAGUUGAUAACUUUAGUGACUAAAAUAUAACUUUUCAUAGUCUAGUAAAAAAAAUCACCAAAGUUUAAUGAUCAUUUUUAUAGUUUACCCUUAUUUUUAUUCAAUAUGAUACAUAUGCUUGACAAGAAAAAAAAAUGUCAUCUCAUAUUUUUUUUUGUUUGAUAUAACAUUUCGUACUCAAGUUUGAAUUUUUUUUAAUGCCAAAUCUAUGUUAUUUUUAUCCAAUAUAAUACAUGCAUUUAAAAAAAAUUUAUAUAUUUUCGUAUCUAAAAAUAAAAAUAUUAAUUUUCUAGAUUCGGGUUUUAAUAUUAAUUUAGUGAAAAAUAACUUCUAAUAUUUAAUGUUUGAAUUUUUCAUGAUUUUCUUAAUAGAUUAAAUUUAGUAUUAUUUGUAAAUUUGUUUAGUUUUGCAUUAAAUUAUUUAAAUACAACUUGAUGGAUAUGAUUUAAUUCAAGUUUUAGGAUCGAUGUGAUGAAAUUUAAUUGCUAAUAUUAUCAGCCAAUUACGAAUUUUCAUCCAACUCUAAAAUUCGGAUUAAACAUUAAAAAGUUGGCAUCUUUAACUUCAGGUAUCAGUUCUGGAAUAAACACUAAAAAGUUACCAUUGUUAGCUUUUGGUAUCAAAAUAUAUAACUUUUGUCAAAUAUAAGUACCAUUUCUAUAUAGACUUCCUCGUCAAUUUCAUCAACAAUGCAAGCUUACAUUUAAUUUAUAGUCUUUUCAAGUACAGCAGUAGUCGGAUCUGAUUGGACAAUGACUCUAAUUUCCUCUAAAAAUCCUUCUUGAGUUUAGCUCGAUUAGUACGGAUCAUUUGGGACCAACUUAUUAAAUUAGAUCCCAUAGCCUUUAUUUUUUCCAGAAAGGUACCGUUGGAAAGGUCCCGUGACCUCUCUGACCUCACCUUGGCAGCUUUCCUCCAUAACUCGAGAGGCCUCCAUUCUGAAAUUCCUUGUAGAAUUGGAUAGUCCAGCUCGAGAAAUAAAAUCUUCAGUACAAAUAUUAAUGUGUAGUGAUCCAACUGGGGUAUACCAGGUGCUGGACUGAGUAGCGUGGAAAAAGAGACCACCAGUUCAAGUUCGCCACACAUUGGUCUAGUCUCCCACAAACGUUGGUUACCAUCGUUAAGCCUUUUUCCCAUGUGAACUAAGGACUAUUGCAAACUCUACCACCCUGUUAGAAAGUGCAACUUAUCAUUGAAUUUUGAGUACGAAGGACAAGAGGGAAACUAAAUACUAUUUGGUGCUGCAAAUCUCGGACAAAAUCAGUUCCCUUCUCCUGGUUGUCUACCACAGCCAAUUCCAGGUUAUCGCCAAGCUCUUGGUUUUUUGAAACAGAGAAUUCAUUAUUCUAUGAUAAAGCCAACUCAUGGUCAACAUAGUCAGGUUUUCAAUCAGUAGCUAACUUGUUAUCAUGUCUAUAAAUAUGACCAACAUCCCCUUCUUUCUCAUGAUAAUGCCAUAAACCUAGGAUGUGAUCAUAAGCCUGUCCUGUCCCAGUGUGUCUCAAGCUAUGGUUAUGGCCUAACACCAGUUGCUGGUUCUGCUUUUAUUCUAGAUUGUGGCUUUGUGCAUAGAUCAUGUCAUGAUUAGCCAUUGAAUAAAUUAAUCACAGUGUUAAUUCACAAUGCAUUCAACAAGCCUUAUUUAUCAGCAUUUAUUUACAAAACAAAAUCACAUUGCUUUCAUUCAUUUACAUAGUUCUAACAUUAAAUUCAUUUAAAAUAAACAAGAAGUUGAAGCCCAAAGAAUGAAUACCCAAUGGAAAGAACAGCUUUAGCAAGUCCAGGAAAAUCAGACAAUGCUGAAUAAGUGCCUGAAACAAAAGCUAUCACCGUUGCAGUAAUCCCAUAACUCGUUAACAACGAAGUAAUAUACGUAUAAAAUGCAUGGGCAUCGAGUUUUUCCACAAACGAUUUGCAGUAAUGGAGGAACAUCGAUGUGGACGAGAAGCAAAAGGCCAACGCAUUAGCUAUCACAAACACUCUAAAAGCCAAUUUUCUGCUUAAAAUCGCCAUUCCUUCCUCGGGGCCAUCGCUUUUGUACCCACCGGGCGUGGUGAAACCCGCGGCGAAUGAGAUGAUGGCGAUCAGUGUUGUCACCAGUAAGUUUAUGCUGGCGAUGGUAUGGAGUUGAUCGGAGCUUGGUUUCUUGAUCGCUGCAGGUUCGGGUCUUUUGUUGGGAAUAAGUUGUGGUUGGGUUUCAAUGGCGACAGGGGACCAUGUUGUUUGUGGUUGUUCUUGAUUUGCUGUUGUCGAUUCAGUAGAUCUUGUUUUUCUUCCGUCCUUGUUGAUUGCAUGCAUGUUCUAAGCUUUCUAGACCUCUAUUGCUUGCAACACUCAUUGUAAUCCAAGUCAGUAAGUAGCUCAAUUUGAGAUAAAUAUCCAAUUAUUUGAUCUUUAGAUUUGAUUAUGCUUGUUUACCUAAUAAAAAAUUUUCAAGGAUUAAAAACUCCUCAAAUUAAAUAAGUAGAAAUAUUUUUCAAUUUUAUUGUUGCUUUAUAAUUUUGGUUGAUAUAAUAACAAAUUAAGUCUUUGAUGUUUAUAUAUUAUGUUAAUUUGAUUUUGAUUCUGAAUAAAUUAUAUAAAAAAGAUGUAUUUAAAUAUAGAUAGACUGUGUAAACUGUAAGAUUAAAUUUACUAUUAUAUUAAUUAAAAUUUUAUAAAUUGAUGAUGAAUCAUUAAUUGGUUUUAGAUUAAAAUAUUCUAUUUUUUUUGAAAAUUAUGACCCGUUUGGUUAUAUCAAAAUUGAGAGGGAUAUGAAGGAUAUUUUUACUGAUUAAAUAUAAAGUAAAAUGACACUCAGGGAUCAAUUCCAUUUUUUUAUUUUUCACUUACUCUUGAAUAACAUGAUACUUCUUGUGCAAGAGUUAGUUCGCUCAAAAUAUUCUUCAACGAAAUUACUUGAGAAGUGCACACUGCAGCAACUAUGUAUUUUACUUCACAUGUUGAAAAGGCAUUAAAUUUUAAAAAAUAAAGGUAUUGGGAUUAAAUUGAAAAUGUAUAAAGAGUAUAAGCACUUAGAACAUGUUUUGACUUUUAAAUUUUAUUCCAUAAUUUGCUCCAAAAAUUAAUUUAUUCCAAUGCGAAGCGUGGCAAGAACUAUACUAUAAUGAGUAAAUCACAGGGAUAAGCACUUCAAAUUUUCAAGAAAUUUUACAAUACUUAAAUCAAAAACUCCUAACAUUCAUAAAUAAGAGGAUAAUAAAUACUUAAGUACACUCAAAUCCUUUUGACUGUUGCAACAGCAGUGGUGCCAAUUGAUUUGAAGCUAAAGCAAUAAUUUUUAUAAAUUAUUUAAAAUUAAUUGUAAAAAAUAUAAAAUAUAAACUUAUUUUUUUAUUUUAUUUUAAAUUUUAAUAUAUAAAUAAUUAAGCGGAUGUUAACUGAGGUAUGACAUUAUUUUUAUUAUAACAAUCAGGACAAUGUGAAUUUAAACGGAAUUUUGAAUCAAAUAGUAUUGAAAAGGGUUUUCAUCAUUAUUUCCAUUAAUAUUACAAUCAUACUACAAGCCAAGCAAGUGCAGUACACCCUAAGGCUCAAACAAACCUUCAAAUUCUAUGAAAUUUUUUAGGAUUUAUUACAAACCAAGCAAAUGGAAGCACACACUAAGGCUCAAACAAUGAGGUAAGCACACACUAAGGCUCAAACAAUGCCUCAAUUUAUUAUCAACUUUUUUGCAGAGCUGGUAAUGAUAAUCGUAUGCCCCGUGAUAAUAUCAAUAUAUUACCAAGAAGGCAGUGAAGCAGCAGCCAUGAAAGCGACAAACUAUUCGUAGUUAUAAACAGUACAACGCGAGUUCAGAUCAGGCUUCCACCAAUGGCGAAGUUUAUGAGGUGAAAUGCUUUCUUCGGGAGGACUGAGAUUCUCUAUAAGAUUUGCCGAAGGAAGCAACUGAAGCGGCUCCGAAAUUGCAACAUCCAUUAUUUUCAGUUCUUUGAUCACUAUAUUUCUUAGUGAAUGAUGGCUUAUUAGUCCCCAAACUCCAACGUCGUCGCUCUUUCUUCUCUUCUUGAAAUGUUCAAUAUCUCCUUGACAUGUGAAGUCUCUACUAUUCACAAACAAACAUGGGUUCCACCCUGAUAUUGCAGCAAAUGAAUCUUCAUCACCACUAUAUCCCAAAGCAAGGACAACGCCGCCUUUGAUAACAGUGAUUGUCAGUUGAAGUCCACGUAUCACAUUCUUGUUGUCUUUGAAGAUUGUCUCAAUUGGGAAAGAUGCAUAUGGCGGAUUAAACAAAAAACUUUACAAGAAUUUGCCUCUUUUCACCGUAUUCUUUCCAGCAAGCAUUGCGAUGGCUGCCCCUAGGGAAUGACCAGUUAACCAUACCUUUGAAGAACCAGCCUUUGACACCCUAUCUUCAACAUAUUUCAUGGCGGUCCGAACACGACUAGUUUGAUGAAGUGUAUAGGAUUAUUGCGAAAUCCGACUCAAGAUCCCUUUUCCAAGUUUCUCGUUUGAAUAGGGUACCUCGAAAGGCGAUCACGUAUCCAGGGCCUGGAUUAGUUGCCGAAGGAAACACAUAUUCAAGAAUGGCACCAAAGAUGCUUUCAUCAUCCUCAUGGACGAGCUCAUUCACUAACUUGAAGUUGAAAAACUCCCACCAUUGUGGCGCAAGUGUCUCAGAGCCUCCACGUAAUUCCACUUGUCGGUCACGUUCCCGCUCGGAAACACCCUUGACCAAGCUGGCUGAUAAGGAUCUUCGAUGGCUGUCGUCGUUCCUAUCAAUGGUGGUAAGGUUUUUGGGUCCCACAAGACUAAAAGGUUCUCUUCCACGAGACGUAUAUUAUAGCACUGGAAACUAUUGACGUGGGUACGAGGGCUUUGGGUGAUGUGGGUUUCAGGCUAUAUGGUGGUUAAAGCAGGUUGUGCAAUGGUGACUGUGGUCAGUGAUGUGACAGCGCUGGCGAAUGGACCCGCGGAGCUUGGUCUGGGAGCUCUUAAAUAGAAAAUCUUGAUUAUCCAGUAUCUUCUCUUGGUCUCAGCUUUGUCAACAUUCUUACGUCAUUAAGUAUGUCAUCCCAUAAUGAGUGGAUAAAGCUCUUUUUCAGACACGGUUUAAAUCAUAUGGUUAAAUAUAUAUUUAGUUUUUUUAGAAUUUAUAUUUGAGUUAUUUUAAGAUAAAUUAUAAAAAUGGUUAUUAAAUUGAGGUGAAUUUUUUUAUUAUCUCUGAAUUCUGAAAAGUUAUAUUUUUUUAUUAAAAUUAUCUACUUAUAAUAUUUCGAUCAUUCGUAUGUUAAUAAAAAAGUGAAAUUGUAUAUAUUAAUUUAAGGGUUAAUAUUUAAUUUCAUCAUUAAACGAAUUAAUGAAUGACAAUGACUAUAUUGGGCUAUAAGUAACUUGUUUUAGUAGUAUGUUAGUCAAUUCAAAUGAGAGAAAAGAAGAGAUCAAGAACUAUAUUAGAACAAUAAAAACAUACAUUGAUUAAACAAUAGCUACAACUCUAUUCGUCCAAGUAAACACGAUACAAAAUAUGACGCAACACCAUCAUCAACACUGAACCCUCCAUUAAUGACAAUCCAAAGCUUUAGUAUGUUUCUUGGGAAAUCCAUUCAUCCCAACACCCAUGAAACUUUGCUUCUAAACCUAGGCGCUCUUCUUUGGUGGUGUAUUGCCAUAUUUCCAAGUGAAUUGCUUUAAAUCAUCAGGAUAAGUACCCCCUGCAACCUCUUGGAUUGGGAUCGCAUCUGAAAUUUCUUUCAAAUCUUCUUUUGUCAGCUUUACUUUCACUGAUUCAAUGUUGCUGUCUAGAUUUUUAAUCUUGGUUGUUCCUGUAAGAAGUGAAAACAAUGUGUCAAAAGCUUUGGUUUUAAAUCUCAAUGCAAACUGGCCGUUGGUCCAGGAACUUGUAUCGGAGUGUCCAACACGGAUAUGUUCAUUUUCCUAAGGUUUUACAUAUAUCUGGAGGAAUAUGCUAGAAAAGUCUAUGCUAUUUCUGCAGGUUACUAACUUACUCUGACUGUUUUUUCUUCGAGUAUCCGUGUCUAAUACCCAACAUAUUUUGACAUGAGUAUUGAAACAAUCCUCCAAAUAUAUGAAAAACUUCAAAAAAUAUAAGAGUUCACUUAUAUUGUAUCACCUCGGAUUCCGAGUUGAAAGUGAUUGAAUGGGACUUACCGGGAAUAGGAGAAACAUCAUCCCCUUGGUGAAGAACCCAGGCAAGUGCAAGUUGUGCCGGUGUACAUCCAUGCUUUUCAGCCAACUUCUCUACU